rnacentral:lncRNA from 1 species
ACUUUAAUGUAUUAUAAUUCCUGGCUAGAAUCGCUUAAAUUGUUGCAAUUUCUACAACUUAAUUAAUAAAUUAACUGAAUAUUAAUGUGUCACUAAUGUAUAAAUAAUGUGACAGUGUUGUAAUUGAUAACAGAAUAAUAAUUAAGUAUGUCGCAGUACUCUUCCACAUCAGGUAUUGAUAUUUAGACAUUUAUUCGAUCACUUGAGCCAGAAAAUUAUAAUAAAUUAAAGUUUGAGAACCAAAAUAUCAUAUGCCUGAUAAUUUGAUAUUCCAAAGUAUAAUUUAUUUGGUGAAAGUUUGGAAAUAGACUUUUCAAGGCCUCAAAAUGUAAUUCAGGGUAUAAUGUAUUAUCUAAAAGAAAUUGAAAGCUAUGAGGAGGCCCGCGGGCCGUAACGGGCCGGCACCGCCUGGCCUAAUCCAGUUCUAAAUCUGGACCGUGCGAUGCCGGGCUCGUGCCGAUCUUUAUAUUUUUUUAUAUUUAAUUUUAUUUAAAUUUAAAAAUUAAAAGAAUUAAGAAGACCAAAAUACUUCCCCGACUUUUUUCUGAAUAUUUUUUAUUUUUUUAUUUUACUUUUAAUUCUUUUUUCUAUAUUAGUAUAUUAUAAAAUAUAUAAAUAUUUAUUUAAAAAUUUAUUUAUAUAAUUUUUUUAAUAAUUUUAAUUUAUUUAGUAGAGAAUAUAUAUAUAAAGUAUAAGACAGCUACAACCGGAUCUGUUUUGCACCCCUUAGGCUUCGUUUGGGAUUGCAGGGAGAUUGCCUAUUUGUUCGCGUACAUAAUAUUAUAUUCUGCAUAUCGCGAUGAGUCGAUCGGUUACGACGGUCCCAUCAGAGAACACAGAAGCAUACCCUAAUAAACUUUUAUCCCAACUCUAUUUUAUCUAAUAGUGUAAGAUGGGCGUCACUAUCAAACUAAGUCUUAGGAGUUGGGGGAACACUCACAGCAAGCAACGGGGGAGCGGCCACACUUGGCGGGCAAUUUGCUGAUGAUGCCGAGAGUGCUGCAGGCGCAGUCGUGGCUGACGGCCCCUAAGGCGGAGCAGCACUGCUUGCUGGGCUGGCCGGAGGAGACGCCCGGGACGACGUAGGGAGCGCAGUUGACGAGCCCGGCCAGCUGCGUCGAGCAGUUCUGCGCCACCGCCGCCGUCGGAACCCGUGCGGCCACCACCACGAGCAGGACCGCCACGGCGACAGCGACUUUCGAAGAGCGCGCAUUGUAAAUGGCCAUGCCUAGCUAGUGAUAAUCAGUUUUUUCUUUCUUUAAAAAAAAAAAAAAUUAUGGUGUUUUGGUAGCAGAUACAUGAGCUGCUUGUGAGUAGAGGUAUUUAUAGGAGAUGUGUGGGGGUGGUCAUGACUGUUGAGGACGGCGUGGCCUAACUACUGUCAGCUGAAAGGAGCAGGAAAUUAUUGCCUCCACCAGGUGUAGAAAUACAUCUCAUUUCCCUGCACCUCUAAAAUUCGCACUUAUUGAAAUAAGGAUUUAAGUGCCUAUCGACAUGGAUCGUAUCUACCGUGCCGUACCGUGCUAAGAAGAUAUCGACACAGCCCACGUGCCGAUGAUACAGUUCAAAGCUUUCUAUUUUUUAAAUUAAUAAGUAAUUUUCUUAAUAAAGUUCAAAAGAUUUAAUAAAAAUACAUAAUAAAUAGUUAGAACAUUUUAUUGUUAAAGAAUAUAAAUAUUUCAUACAAUUAUAUGUCAAUAUACAUAAAUUUUUUGUGAUUGGCACGCAUCAGCACGGUCCGGCACGCAUCGUGCCGUACCGUGCUAGUAAGUUUCCGACACGACCUCAUACUACGGUACUUAAAUCCUUGUAUUGAAAUGUAUUUCUAUAAUAUUUAAUUAAAAGGUAAAUUUUAAAUUGUCCUCCUACAGUUUAGCUUAUUUUUACUUUGUCACUUUGUAUUUAAAACAUUUCACCUUACUCUCAUGUGGUUUGAUAUAUUUUAGCUAAAAAGUAAAAUAAUUCUAUGUAAAAUAGACCGGCAAGGAAAAAAAAUUAAAAAAAAAAAAACAAAGGGUGGUAAAGUGAAUAAUAAGCUAAACUAUAGGCCGGUAAAGUGCAACUUUUUGAACUAUGCAUGGAAUGAUAAAGUGAAAAUAAACUAAACCAUAGGGAGUAAAAUAAAAUUUUUUUAACCACGGGUGGCAAAGUGAAAAUCAAAUAAGCUAAACCAUGGUAGGGCAAUUUGAAGUUUACCUAUAUAAAUUUAUGCGAUGAUUUACAUAUUGAAAAAAAAAAAAAAAGAAUUACUUAGAUGCCGAUAUAGUUUAUACAUUUUUCAAAACAUAUGAUAUUUUUUUUUAAUACAUUAUGUCUUUAGAUAUUGCAGAUUAUAUCUGUCGAAUUAAAAUUUUAAUUGAUCUUAAAAUAACAAUCAUCAAACUACGUAAUUGUCACGCACUUGGUUCAGACAAUAUUUUCUUUGAAAGGAAAGGGGGUGAAUAGCAAGUGUGUGAGUCACCAAACACCUAAUGGUAGUGUUUUUAUAUGUACGUAAUACAUGAAGCUAAAAUGAUAGAGUGGUAACAUUGAUCUUGGUGAGUUGCUACGAAGAACUAGGCAUGGACAUUGCGUGGGAAAGAGGAUGAAAAGAAAAAGAAAAAGAAAAAGAAACCUACGAGGAGGCUUUCCGGAAUGAGAUAAGGGUAUCAGCAUUGUCGAACAGUUCGCGAGCGUCAAUUUUACAAAACUUCGAUCUACUAGAAUGGGAUUUUCUUUCGCUAGUUAGAACUUAGAAUAGCCACCACUAUAAGAAAAUUAGCAUUUAAUGAUGUUUAUAUAUAUAUAUAUAUAUAUAUAUAUAUAUAUAUAUAUAUAUAUAUAUAUAGAGUGAGGCUACUAUGCUAUCGGAAGUACGGAGCCUUCCGUGCUUCCAGCUCGUUUUCGAUGUUGCNAUAUAUAUAUAUAUAUAGAGUGAGGCUACUAUGCUAUCGGAAGUACGGAGCCUUCCGUGCUUCCAGUUUGUUUUCGAUUUUGCGACUUUCAAAUUGUCGAUCGACUCCGUUAAAUUUGAUCUAGAGUAUUUGGACUACAUAGAAAAUAAAUUUUAUUAUUUUUCGAUAUCAUUUGCCUAAUGAUCGAAUGGGCUGAAAAUCAACAAAUUUCAAUGGUCGUAGUGAGCCGUUUGCAAGUUUAACGAUCUCCUAUACUAUCUAUGUACCGGGGUUCCGCUACUAUAGUCUCGUUUUCGAUCUUAAGAUGUUCAAAUUAACGAUCCACAUCGUUAAAACUAAUCUAGGGUAUUUAAAGUUUUUAGAAAUAAAAUUUUAUAUUUUUUCGACAUAGUUUACUUUAUGAUCAAACCAUUUUAAAAUUGUUAAUUUUUAAUGACUAUUAUGGUGAGUUUGGAGUUUAACGGUGUAGAAGAAUUUAAAUUUCUUCACAUUUUGAUAGAAAAUAUUUUAAACUAUCUAGAUUAAGGUUAACAUUCUUGAUCUUGAAUUUAAGAGUCCUAUACUCAAAUUUUAAAUGUUAUUCAAUUUUCACUGUCCAUUUCGAUAUAAUUUAUUUAAUGAUAUCGAAAAAAACUAAAAUUUUAUUCCUCUAGAUCAUAUUUAAUGGUGUGGAUCGUUAAUUUGAACACUCUAAAAUCGAAAACAAGACUAUAGUACCGGAGCUCCAGUACUAUAGAUAGCAGGAGCCUAUAUAUAUAUAUAUAUAUAUAUAUAUAUAAUAUACUUAGAUCUCUCAUCGAGUCCGGCUACUAUACUUUUCAUGAGUAUUGGCUCCCUUUACUCAUAAGUUUUCGGCCCUUAGAUUUAUUCACUGAUCAUUUCCACCCGUUAGAUAUACUAAUCAACCAACUACACUCAACCCUAGGGCACUAUCAUUUUAAGUGUGGACCACCAUCAUCCUAACCACACUACACAUCAAUCAAUGGUUAAAAUUUAUGAGUACAAGGGGGCUAUACUCAUAAGAGUAUAGUAGCACCAGCUUAUAUAUAUAUUAUAUAUAUAUAUUAUAUAUAGAGUUGAGCUAGAAUACUCUCAGAGCAACAGAGAGUGUGGUGUUUUAAGUUUUUAACCAUUAGAAGAGAGAUGUAGGUUGAGAUGAUAAUGUAGGUGGUGGUAGGUGGUAGUAGGUGGAAUAGUAUUUGAUCCAAGAGUAUUAGUAAUUAAGGAGUAGAUCCAAGGCUAGAAACUUAGAAGCACAAUGGGUUGAUGCUUCUAAAAGUAUUCUAGCUCAAUUAUUAUAUAUUAUAUAUAUAUAUAUAUAUAUAUAUAUAUAUUAUUCGAGCUUUCGAGCUUUUCGAGCCUAAUUCGAACGAGCCGAGUAAUACUUCAAGCUCGCGGCUUGAAAUGAAUUUCGAGCCUUUUAUUUUGUUCAAGCUCGGCUCAUUAAUUCGAGCGAGCUCGAGCGAGCCGAAUAUCGAGCCGAACACGAGUCGAACGCCAGCCGGCUCGCUCGUUUGCCGGCCCUAAUAAGGGAUGAUCCUCUCAUGUUGCAUUAACAUGCAAUAUUCCUUCGUACCUAUCACUCCAAACAUUCUUGAUCCCUUUAUAUGUUAGAUGAGUGAGAGGAGCGAAGAUCUUUGCAAAGUCAUCGAGUAGGCACCACUUUACCGACUUCGAUUUGAAGUACACGCCUCUACCGUAGAAUAAAACUGGGACACCCUAUCGAUGUCUCCCGCCACAGUCCUGACGUAAGCAAAGUUCUAUUCAAAACCGUAAUUAGCUCAAACCCACUAAUUACAAAAGCUAUGAUUCCAAGUGAAUUCAAACAGUCGAACAAUUGGGUUUCGGGAUCCCAUUCCACGAUCGCCGAAAGAUCACCUGAUUGUCACACCGACUCUUCGGAAUGUCACCCCAACCCACGAGAUGUCCCGAAAUAAGUUCCACACUUAUCCUACCUCUUCCGCUGUCCCAACACAUCAAUGUAAUGCUAUUGGGCAGCUGCACAAGUGCCAAAACAAAAAACUGAGGUCUCGAAACUCACCACUUUAAUUGGCUCCUGAAAUGCCCAUUCUGGCGCCGAAACCACCCGCAGCCCUCCUGUUGUGACCAAAGAUACUGUCAAACCUCACACUAAAACCGGUCAAUAAGGCUCAUACUUUGCUGCGAAUAGUAGCAACCUGCGCGACAAGAAACAACGCCUGAAAUUGCUCGAUUUCAGUAUUUGAGGGCUCGGAUUAGCGCUAAAGUUUUCCGAAACACUCUAUGAUUCACUUGACCAACUUCACUAUCCCAAAACACUCACUUUUGAGUGUCGGGGCAGCCAUACACUAAGUGGUGCGAUCCGGGCACGAAAUCCUCAAAAUCCAUUGUACCAGGUCCCGAAAAUCAUGGUUUGCAGUUUCGGAACCCACCUGGGGUCCUUCGCUGGUUUGUCCAACGAGGCUUCUCUACCACUGCAAGCAGCAGCUAAACCCGCUCUACGAAAACGGAGCCUUAAUAAUAAUAAUUAAAUAAUACCAUUGAAACUAAAAAAUGUAUAAUGUAACAAAAGAAAAAAACACUACAAGCUAUUUUUGAAAAAUAUUUUAAGAUAAAGGUUAAUUUUUUAUGAUCAAUGGCUUAAAAUCAAAAUGUUAUGGAUUGUUUUGAUUUAUAAUAUGUAACUACAAGUAUGGUGACCCACACGUUGCAGCGGGUAGGUAUUGAUGAAAUGAGAAUAUAAAACAAUAUCCUAUAAUAUUAUAAAAAAGAGAAGGAAUUAGAGACAUAUCCUUUUCAGAUUUAUUUAGUAGAUAUAAUGCAGUGACACGAACUUUAUAACGAGUAAAUACUAUUGUAAAACUAAAAAUAUGUAAUUUACUAAGCAAACAAAAAAAAUAAAAUAUAAAAAAAAUUAAUAUUUUUACUUAAUGUAUAAAUUCAAUCUAUAUUCAAACCAUAGGCAGCAUUAAUUCAUGGGUAGAAAAAACAACAAAAUGACAACACAUCGGAUAACGGGCAGCAUUCAUAACGAUGAUGGUCCAUUUUCGGUCAACAAAAAAGAAAAUGGAGAAAAAAGUAAAAAAACAACCAAUUUGAGAAAAAACAAUUAAAAAGAUCGAGAUGAGGAAUAUUCCUUUUGUAUAUUGUUGAUGAAAUGAUAGAGCUUAUUUAUUGUGAAUAAAGUAGAUUAUAUAUUAUAAUCAACAUAAGAGUUUUCAGAGCAUUUCUUCUUUUUCUAAAAUCUCAAGCUAAAAUAAUGCAUUUCUCAAACUAUUUGUAUAUUCCUCUUUUCUUAAAAAAAACUCAAACCAAUAUAAUAACUCAUUUUAUGUUUAAUAAUUAAAUAAAAAGAGAGAAAGAGAAAAUAAAUGUACAUACAGGCAGUUAGAGGAUGGCAGGCGUUAUAGGUACAGAGAGCUCAAGGCCCUGAUCAAAGAGAGGAAAUAAAAGCACGUGAGAACAAAAUCCAAAAAAAUUAAAAAGAGAACAAUAACAUGAAAAAGAACAGAAAAAUAAAAAGAGAUAUAGUAAAAAAAAGCAGAGAGAUAGAGAUGAUAGUCUAUCUUCUCGGUGGGGGUCCACAACCGCCAAAUUAAAAAGAUGACGGCCACCGACCGUUCCUAGCGCAAGUGGCAAAGGGCUUGGUGGUUGAUAUCCGAGCUUCCCAGUUCGAAUCCUAGUUGAUUCACAUUUCUAGCUAAAUUUAUUUAUAGAUGAAAUAAAUGAAGCGGGUAGCGUGCUACGUAUCUCUCUCUCUCCCAAAAAAAACAAAGAUGACGGUCCAGCUUUUCGGUGGAGCUCAUACGCCCAAAUAUAAAGAGAUAACUGUUCAUCUUCUCAAAAAAAUGGAGAAAAAAAAGAAUCUAGUCAAUUUUAAAAAAUUAAUUAUAAAAAUCAGUGGGACCCACACUCUGUAAUUAAUGGGGUUGGCUACAUCACCGUAAAACUAUGAGGAUUAAUAGUAGUUUACGAAUGGGCAUUUGUACAAAAAAUCAUGAGUUUUAGAAGCCAUUUAUGUACGUGUCAAGUAGGUUCGAGAAUCAAUAGUCUAACAUUGUUAGAUUUACAAGAAAUUUACAUCCAAAUUUAAUAAAUUUUUAUAUGUAGACAUUUUUAUGAUCAUAGAGCACAACCAAUGAAUUAGAAUUUGAUUUUUAAGUACUUUAUCAUUAUCAAAAUAUUUACUCUGCACGAUAUAUGAUAUGUACUUUACACCUACAAAUUUAGAGCUCUAGUUUGGAUAAAACCCAAUAUAAAAAUUAAAAUUCUUUCAACCAAAUUUUAGUUAGUUAACUUCCUUUUCUUAAUUUGGCCAUUAAAUUUAAAACUUUAAGUUAUGUAUAAUUACUACGUUUUUGUUUGCUUUAAAGCAUGAGGGUGUUUGGUCUAGUGGUAUGAUUCUCGCUUCGGGUGCGAGAGGUCGCGAGUUCGAUUCUCGCAACACCCCUUAAUUUUUAAUUUUAUUUCUUGGCUUAAAUUUUACUACUUGUUUUGAAACAUCUAGCUAAGCUUUAUUUUGGUCCUCAAAUUUUUCAAAUUCAACAUCAGUGGUUUCUAAAGUCUUAAUUGUAUGUUUGAAUCAAUUUUCAUUUUGGUCCUCAAAUUUUUAAACUUUGAUAUCGAUAAUUUCUAAACUCUUAAGAGAAUUUUACUUUAGUACUUCUACAUAUUUAUUGUUUGAUGAAUUACAGCUUAGAACUCCAUGUAACUUUUCCUCUAUUUAUUAGGUUUUUAUCGUCUGUUUUUUUCAUCGUAUGUUUCAACUAUACUAUCCAUUGAAUUAUAUAUUUCUACAAAAAGUGAGGUUAAAUUACAUAAAACCUCCCUAUAAAUUUUUUUUUUUAUAUUUUCUUCCUAACUUUCAAAAAUCUAUAUUUUGCACCCUUAAAAUUUCAAAAAUAUUUUCAGAAGUGUACGACAUUAAUGGACAGGGCAAAAUGACCGAAUUGCCCACACUUCCUCUAUAAGGAAAAAAUAAUUUUUAAUAUAUUUUGGUCAUUUUGAAAGAUAUUUUUGGUAUAAAUUAUAAAAAAUGGAUAGCAUAAUAAUGAAACCCUGACGGAGGGGAGCUAAGAGGGUUAAAAUAUAAGUUUUUGAAAGUUAGGGAGAGAGAGUAAAAAAUCUGUGUAUUUACAAAGGGGUUUUCAGUAAUUUAACGAAAAAUAAGAUCUCUAAAUUAAAAGUAUGAGGUGGACGAAAAAAAAAGAGGAAUUUAUGGUAUACAAACAAAUAGAAGACCUAGGUGCAAAGCAAUAACUUUCAAUCUAAGAUAGGGGGCAAAAUGAAAUACCACUGUAAGUUCAAGGACUACUGAAAAUCUUAUCAAAAGUUCAGCUGUUCAGGAUUUUCAAAUACAGCCCUUCUCUCUUUCUCACAAGUCACAACCAUUGCUCUGUACACCAACCAUGCACAUAUAUGUAAACUCCAGUGUAUAUAUAUAUUGAAUCUUUGUGGUGAAAAUGUUUGUACUUGUAUAGUUCUAUAUUUCAUUUUCAAUAUUUUUUUUACCACUUGCAUUCAAAUUGUUUUCACUUUUUGCCUUCUCUUAUACAAUGGUUUCCCUGCCAGGUUUGAUUGAAUAAUUUAGUUAUGCUAGAAAAUUGAGAAAUGAGGGGGAUUUAUGGGAAACCUCGAUCACAGCUCUAAAAUGGAAUAAAGUGAUCUAAGAAAUAUUGUUUGUUUUGUGCCUGAUAUAUCUUUUGACUUAAGCCCAGUUUGGUAAUAUGGUGGCUAAAAUCUCCGCUUAUAUUUUGGAAGGUCUCAAAAUUUUGAAAGUAUUUUUUAUCUUUUCUCGUUCAAUACUAUAAAAUUAUGGUGACAAUCAUCAGUGAAAAAGUAUGUGGUUUCAUCUUAUUUAUAUUUGGUCUCGUUCACAUCUUUCAACCCCGUUUCAUUCUAAAGGUCUUCAUGCUAGUAAGGAUUUAGCACAUAGCAAGAGAGUACAUUAAAACUAAGAUUCACAUCUGCGUACAAGAGUUUCUCAGUAUACCAGUUUAAACUGUUUUGUAUGCUCGAGCCAUUUAACAAAGGAAAAGACUGCUCAAUUAAAAUGCCUAGGGCAUUAGAUUUGUAGAUAAUCAAACAAAUUUCAAUUCUCACCACUCCUACCUUGUACCUCCCUCCAAACAAAUAAAAAUAAAAAAAAGUUAAAAUUGCAAGGCAUUUGGUUGGACAGCACAAAAUACUGUGCCAACAAUUUCAAUUUUAUUUGUCUUUCUUCCUCUACCUAGAAGUACUAGACAUUAAUCCUCAAUGCAUAAUUCCAAAGCUAGUUAUGAGGUGAUAUUUAACUACUGCUAAAUAAGAUGCCUCCCAUUCCAUGUAUGACUAAAGUGAACUCAAAAGAAAUAUAUAUCAUGGCGUUACAGAUGUCAAACAACAGUUUUUUUUUUAAAAAAAAUACCAACUAUGAAAAAGAGCCAACAAUUUUUGGAAACUUUAUAUAACUGCAUGCUGCAUUCAAAUUGCGCUUCGACAGAGCAUACAUAUCAUGCAUUCAGUAUAAUACUUGGUAUUGAUGUUAUUGUUCAUCACUUUCCGACAGUACUAAACUGUGACUAAGAAUCUGGUGAACUAACAAGCUUAAGUCAGUUUUUCCCCAUGUUUUCGAGCAGCGAAGCGACGUUGUCAGCCGUCAGCGGCUUGAGGAGGAAAUCAUCUAUUCCUGCUUCCAUGAAUUCUGCCUUACUCUCACUGCUGGCAUUCGCCGUUAUGCCCACAAUCUUGGCGUCAACCCCCAUCGAUCGCAGCGUCCUCGUGGCCUACAUUUAGCAGAACAAGAACCAAAGGGAUAGGCAUGGCUUGUGAAAAUUUAGGUGAUUCAGUAAUGCAUUUGAAUCAUAUAGAAAGGCCAAGGUGGUGUAGAUGCUUAAGUAACACUUUAUGUAAUGCCUUGGUGCAAUGAGUAUAAGUUGCAUGGUUGUAAAAAUACCUCAGGGCCAUCCAUGACAGGCAUCUCUUUGUCCAUGAGAACUAUGUCGAAGUUACUCCCGGAGCGAAAGAGAUCCACCGCCUCUUUCCCGUUCUCGGCUGCAGUAGUCUCGACCUUAAAGAAACGGAGCAGAGCAGUCUGCAGCACGCGGUGGAACUUACUGUCGUCGACGACAAGAGCUCUCAACACAUUCUUACCGGAGCUUGCAGAUGUUGAACCCUUGAUCUUUUCCGGGCCGGAUCCCAUCGUGAUUUUUUCGCUUAUCUAGAAUCAACCAGUGUUAGAUUGUCUACUCAAAAGUACAGGGUAAAUAGUAAAGCUUAGUUGUAGUAUCUUAGAUGGCAUGAGUGUCCAUAAAAUUAAGAUCACUAGAUUGCCUAAAUUUGCAAACCAAAGAUUCAUAGAUGAAAAAGGAUAAACUUCAUAUUAUUGGCAUUGUCGAAGCGAAUGCAUCGAUAACUGUAAUAUGUGAUUAGUGAACCUGUCAUGCAUAUUUAGUGAAAAAAGAACUCAUAAGAGAAUCCAACAAACUUCAUCUUGUGCUGCUAAGGUAACACUGUCAUUACUAGAAGGCUUUUCUAGCUAUUAAUUGGAUUUGCAUUCUCAUAUCAUGUAUUGUUAUAUAUAUCUAUUUCAUAACUAUAUCUUUCUUAUAUGAUAACUAGGAAACUGAACAAUAAUUCUCAUUCCAUAAUAAACGGUGCAUUAUUUCUUUCACGGUGAAUCGAAUAUUAGUGCUCAAUCCUUAUUGUCUGUUUACCAUCUCUAUACCCAUGUAUAUAUAGUCAAAUUAUAUUUUGAAAAUUGCAUGCACAACCGACCGUCCCUAGAGCAAGUGGCAAGGGACUUGGUGGUUGGCACCUGAGACCCAAGUUCGAAUCCUAGUUGAUUCACAUUUCCAGCUAAGUUUAUUUCUAAAUGAAAUAAACGAAGAGGGUAGCGUGCUACCUAUCUCUCAAAAAAAAAAAAGAAAAAAAAAAAAGAAAAUUGCAUGCACAAGGUUGUACAGUAAGUUCUAGUAUUGGAAGGGCCUGGAUCAGAAUCACGAAAAUGGAUGACAAAAUGUAGCAUUCUUGAAGAUCACAAAGAAAUAUAUAAACAACUUAACUAACUUACAUAAACACCAUGAAAAAAGUGUAAUUUACAAAUGGAAAAAAGUCCUUGAGUAUGGCAAUGUUGGUGAAGAAACAUGCGGCGAAGAUAACACAACAUUUUGAAGAAUACCAUAUGCAUAAAAUAGUGAAAAAUAGUUCAUGAUAUAGGAUUUUUGUGUAAUUUGAAAUGCUUCUUGAGAGGUUAGAGGAGGUGAAAGAAAGGAAAGAAAGAAACCUCACAAUAAGUUGAGGAGGUAAAUAGUGGAAGACUCCAACUCAAUACCACUUUGGUGGUCCUAUAAUGUGGCCAUAUUUAUAGAAAUAUAAGGAAGUCUCUCUUAAUCACGAGAUAAGGUGACUGAUACAGUCGGAUAUUAGAAAAUCUCCACUGUAGGCAAUGUGAGAUAUAUAGUGCCGUACAAUAUCUAAGUAAAUCUAAUUGCGUAUAAAAUCUAAGUAUAUCUAACUUUGCAGCAAAAGCGUGCCACGUGUUAAAGUGGGAUAAUUGGCAAUAUUAUGAUUUUAUGUAUUUUGCCAGAAAGGUACCUCUAUUCUUGUGAAUUGUGCAAAUGACAUGAUUUGAGCAUUUAGUUUGCAUUGUCCUUUUUGAGUUCACAUUUUUAGUAUUUGGAUUUGCAUCACAAUGUUCCUUUGAUUUUUUUUUUUUUUUCCUUUCCCUUUGAGAGAUGUUUCAUUUUAAUGAUAAAAGAGCCUAAGCAUGCUUUAGACACAACAUGGGGACGCGUGCUUAGCGGAAACAAUGAACAUGUUAUAUUAGCAAGUACAAUGAUGUAUUCGGAGGUCACGAAUCAGUGUGUGGUAGUUUCAGUUCCAAAAUGUAUUUGCUGCUAAAAAAUUGUCACCAUGAAAUAGGAGAUUCAUUACAACAAAAACGGUGUAUAGCGACACUUUUAAAUAUCAGUACAUAUCAAAAAAAAAAAAUAUUGCGGCUAAAUUACCGACACUUUUAAAAAGUGCUGCUGUAUGUGAAAUCGUUAGGUAUAUAGUGACAGUUUAAGAGUGUCGGUAUAACCUAAAAAAAGUGCUACUAAUUUAUCAACACUUAUUUAAGCAUUUAACAACCGCCGGAACUCUACCUCGUUGGCUGCAGUGGCGGAGGAGGAGGAGAGCGAAGGACUCUUCGUCUAAGGUUUCAGUGGAUUGAGUGAGGAGAGAAGGGGCGAUGGUGAUCGAUUUUUUUUUUCUUUUUCUGUUUAUAAUUGGGCCGAAUGGGCUAGGUGAGGUGGAUUGAGUAGAGUAAUCUUUUAUUUUUUAUUGGAUUGGGCUUUAUAUUUAGGUCUUAGUAGAUUUUUUAAAAAGUUUUGGCAUAAAUGAGACACUUACAUAAAAAUGUCUCAAACAUGUGUUCCUAUAACCUAAUUCUGUUGUAGUGAUUUUCAAUACGUUUAAAAGUAAAUAUGAUUAUUCCUGCUCUUAUUCUUAAAGAAAAAUAUAAUUAUUUUCAUUAGAUACAGGCAAAAACAUUGUGAAAUGAUCUACAUAGUUAAUUGCUAGGGUCUUUUGUCCUUCAUUAUUUCUUUCCUUUCUUCUCUAUUCUUUUCAACUAGCAAAGGGACUUAUAAUCUAAAAAAGAAAAAAGCAAACUUUCAUUUUUGGUCAAAAAAAAUUGAUGAGCUCGUUUCCAUGUUGUGUGUAAGCCUGUUCAUUUUGUAAAUGGUUAUUUGUAUUGUAAACAAAAUGCAUGCAUACGUGGACAAUAUGGAAAUAAUUUUUGUGAAGUUUGAGACAAGCUAUUCAUACUUCAUCUGGUCAAAUUUACUAAGAUGAUUCCCUCUAGGGCUUAUUUGCAAAAACUGUAAUCCUAAUUAGCUUGGGUUGAGAUUAGAUGAUUAAAAAGAACUAUUCAUAUUCUCCACCUGACACACAUGUACCAAAUAGAUGCAAAUAUACUUGGUGUGUAACCUAUCAAAACUCUAUUUAUACACAACUUAGAGGCAAUGGCUUAAAGUUGGAGCUAGUUUGAUAAUGAAAUAAGGAUCAAAUUGAUGUGAAACCUUUCCUAUUUGAUUUUUUGUGAGUCGGCUUUCAAACGCCUUUCGAAUAGCGCGAAGUCGAUAUCAAGUGAGUGAGAUAUCACAAUUUAUCAAAAGGUGUCAAUAUAUAUAGUCUGCAGGCCGUAUCUUAGGCUGACGGAAGAAACUGGGUGCUCGAAAAUUUUAGGGUGCCUUAAUUUAGCGGCCUGACUUCUCCCAAGUUGCGAGGCACGAAACAGUUUCGAGUGCUCGGAUAUUAGAAAGUGGGCGCCCGACAAUUCAUGACGCACCCAAUUCUGUGUAAAAGGUUGCAAGAAGCCUGCAUUAGAAAAUUUUCGAUUGCCCCAAAGUUGAAAUUGCAUUCAAAUCCGUCAAAUCACAGUAUAUAUAGCUGUUGUAUAUUACAGUGCAUUGUCAGAAGCCUUUGGAGAUGUGGGUGCCCGAAAGCGGAAACUGCGCCGGAUACUAGAAUUUGACUUGUAACGGCUAUAUAUUAAUUUUUGGCUUGAGAUAGAGGGAGAAAAUAGGAAAAAAGAUGUAGAAUACCCAAAAGAGAUCUCUAAGUCCUUUCAUGGGUGAUUCCUCUACAGUUAGUGAUGUCAGAUCUUGUACAGGGAAGAUUUUCUCCCGUGGAGAAGAGAAGUUAUUGUAAAGGCUGGGGUGCUUUAGGGGUGGAAACGAGCCAAGCUCGAGCAAGCUUACCUCACCUCAGCUCAAGCUUGACUUGAAAUUAAUUUCGAGCCUAAAUUUAGGCUCAAGCUCAGCUUGAAAUUAAUUCGAGCCGAGCUCGAGCGAGCCUAAUUUCGAGUUGAGCGAGCUCGAGCCCUAAACGAGCUGCUUGAAAUUUUUAAAAUCGUGCAAUCUAUAGUUUAAUUUUUAUAAAAUAUUAUCUAAAAUUCGAUACAAAAAAUGUCUAAUAGCUUAACAUACAAAAUGCAUGUAUGAAAUAUGAUAUUAUAAUAUUAAAAAAAUAGGAAAAACAACUCUCUGAGCGAGUGAAAAAGAGAAAGAGAGAGCAAUUAAAGUAAGAUUUUACUGGUUUGGCUUUAUGGGCCCAAUAAUCUAAAUUCUAUAUACAUAUAAUUAAAAUACAUAAUAUAAAUUUAUAUAAUUAAAAUAUAUAUUAUAUAUAAUUAUAUUGGAGAGAGUUUUGGCUACUAUAUUCUAUUAAGUAUAGAGCCCUUUAAUACUCAUAAUUUUUUCACGUUAGAUCUAUUCUAUCCGUAAAUCAUCACUAUUCAACCAAACCGCCCCCGUUCAAUCCUAGGGGACUGCACUAUUAAUCCUAAUUGCACAUUUUCAAGCGGCGAAAAUUUAUAAGCAUAAAGGGGUUAUUACUCCAAAGAAUCAUAUAUACGCUAGGCCUAUAUAUAUGAUAAUAAUACUAUAAUAUAUACUUAUAUACUUAUAUUAUAUAGUAUAUAUAUAUAUAACUGUAUAUUAUAUAUAUAGAAGUUGAGUUAGAUGCCGUAUCGAUGGCAAAUUCAGCAUGUUUGCACCCAUUUGUUUUUCGAUGAUGGACGCCUCCAAACUCGCCGAUCGGCACCGUUGAACAUGAUUAUACCACUUGAAGUGUUUAGAAAUCAAAUUUUAAAAUCUUUUCAACAUCAUUAUUGCUAAUAAUCAAAGGGUUUCAAAAUUUAUAAUUUUAAUGGUCGAUAUGAGGCGUUUUCUCCGUUUAACGCGAAAAGAUAUCCAAAUCAAUUGAAUUUUUGUUAGAAAAUUCUUUAAACUAUUUAAAACAAGAUUAUACUCUUGAAUCUUGAUUAUAAGACUCCUAUAUAUCAUUUUUUUUAAGAAUAUUCAUUUUCAGCGUUCAUUUUGUGUCACUCGAUGGAUAAAGAAAACAAUAUCGAAAAUGUAUGAAAUUUGAUUUCUAAAUAUUUCAAAUGGUAUAGAUCAUGUUCAACGGUGCCGAUCAUCAAUUUUGAGGCUCCAUCAUCGAAAACAAAUGGGUGGCAAAAGUGCCGGUUUGCUAUCGAUAGUAUUCUAGCUCAACUCUAUAUAUAUAUAUAUAUAUAUAUAUAUAUAUAUAUAUAUAGAAUUAUGUUAUAAUAUUAUUAAUAAUAUCAACUAUUUGCUAUUAGGUUUUCGGCCCUUAGAUAGUUAUUAUAUGAUGAUAAAAAAAAAGCAUUCUAAUUACUAUCAUCCUAACUGCACAUCCCUUCAUCCAAGGGCCGAAGACCUAAUAGCAAGUGGUUGGUAUUAUUAAUAAUAUAAUAGACUUUUUCUAUAUACAUAUACAUACAUAUAUAUUUCGAGCUUUUCGAGCCUAAUUCGAGCGAGCCCGGUAAUACUCAAGCUUGACUUGAAAUUAAUUUCGAGCUUAAAUUUAGGCUCAAGCUCGACUUGAAAUUAAUUCGAGCCGAGCUCGAACAAGCCGAAUAUCGAGCCGAACGUGAGUCGAACACGAGCCGGCUCGCUCAUUUGCCAGCCCUAGGGUGCUUGGCCAAAAAAAGUAUUAGUAGGCAUAGUUCUGUUAUAAAGACUUGGUGCUUGUUCAUGAAAAGUAUUGAAGGGCAUUGUGCAGGUGUAAGUAACAGCUUGAUGCUUGCCCACAAGUAUCGGAUACUGGAAAUCUAACAUCUUUGAAAUUUAGAGUUGGUGGGGACGUAGGCAAAGGACCAAACCUCGAAAUAAAUUGUCGUAUGCUUAUUGAGUUUACAUUUCUCUGCUCUCUACUCUUUCUUAAUAUGAUUGAUUUGAUUUCACCUUACAUUGUUUUAUCUUUGUAAUUUCAAUUAGCUUAUACUUUUGCCUUAGAAGCCUAUUUCAUUCUCCAUUCUAAAUCGUCAUUUCGAUUAACAAAUACCACGCCCCAUCCCACAAAAUCUUUAAUCCCUGCAAAAUAAUAUAAUAUAUUAUUAUAUAAUUCUUAAUUUUUUAAUUAUAAAUAUAGAAUGUUAGUUUUGAUGUACUUAUAUAAAUAUUUUUAAUUUAAUCAAAUAUUUUAAACAUAUUUGAUUUUUUUUUAACAAAAAAAUUAGUUAAGCAAUAUAUAUGAUUGCUAUACAUUUUUAGUAAAUUGAUGUGUCAUACUUAAUAAUGUGGCAACGAAUAAAAAAACUAACUUAAUAAUUAGGGAAACUUUACACUAAUUUGAAUUAAAAAUAAAUUAAAUUUAAUAUAAAAUCUAAAUAAAAAAUAAUCUAGAAUAUUUUUUAAUCCAUGGGGUAUCAGCGGGGGAUGAGAACGGGAGAAAGUUAUUUUUUCGUUACUUUUAGUACUUGAUGCUAUCGAUUGUAUUCCAGCUGAACUCUAUAUAUAUAUAUAUAUAUAUAUAUAGAAUUAGACGGGAAUACUAUCAAUAGCACCAAGCUAUUGGUGCUAUUAGUUUUUUAGCCCUUGAAUUGAGAAAUGUGUGGUUAGGAUGAUGUGAGCCCCCUAGGGUUGAGUGGGUGGUUGGUUGAAUAGUAUAAUCUAACGGGUAAAAAUAAUCAAAGGGUUAAUCUAACGGUGGAAAACUCGAUAGCACCAAAUUCUUGGUGCUAUUGAUAGUAUUCCCGUCUAAUUCUAUAUAUAUAUAUAUAUAUAUAUAGAAUUAGGCUGGAAUACUAUCAAUAGCACCAAGCUAUUUGUGCUAUUAGUUUUUUAGCCCUUGAAUUGAGAAAUGUGUGGUUAGGAUGAUGCGGACCCCGUAGGGUUAAGUGAGUGGUUGGUUGAAUAAUAUAAUCUAAUGGAUAAAAAUAAUCAAGGUGUCAAAUCUAGCAGUGGAAAACUCGAUAGCACCAAAUUCUUGGUGCUAUUGAUAGUAUUCCAGCCGGACUAUAUAUAUAUAUAUAUAUAUAUAUAUAUAUAUAUAUAGAGGCUAAUGCUACUAUCCUAUUAAUAGGAUANNNNNNNNNNNNNNNNNNNNNNNNNNNNNNNNNNNNNNNNNNNNNNNNNNNNNNNNNNNNNNNNNNNNNNNNNNNNNNNNNNNNNNNNNNNNNNNNNNNNNNNNNNNNNNNNNNNNNNNNNNNNNNNNNNNNNNNNNNNNNNNNNNNNNNNNNNNNNNNNNNNNNNNNNNNNNNNNNNNNNNNNNNNNNNNNNNNNNNNNNNNNNNNNNNNNNNNNNNNNNNNNNNNNNNNNNNNNNNNNNNNNNNNNNNNNNNNNNNNNNNNNNNNNNNNNNNNNNNNNNNNNNNNNNNNNNNNNNNNNNNNNNNNNNNNNNNNNNNNNNNNNNNNNNNNNNNNNNNNNNNNAGAAGAGAGAAGAGAUGAGACGAGAGGAGAGAGAGAGUCCGGCUAUGGUGCUCGUAAAAGCCACCAGCAUUUGGUGCUUGUAAAUUUUUUACCGUUAAAUUUCUGUCUUUGAUCAUUUUUACCCGUUAGAUUAUACUUCAACCAACCACCCACUCAACCCUAGGGACCCACAUCAUCCUAACUGCACAUCCAUUAAUCCAAAGGCCAAAAACUUACAAGCACUAAUAACUUGGUACUUUUAAAAGCAUAGGAGCUCAAUUCUAUAUAUAUAUAUAUAUAUAUAGAGAGAGGAGGAGAGAGAGAGAGAGAGAGAGAGAGAGAGAGAGAGAGAGAGAGAGAAUACUAUCAGUAGCAAAAGGGUUCCGUUGUCAUCCAUUUAUUUUCAAUGAUCGAGCCUUCAAAUCGAAGAUCAGCACCGUUAAACAUGAUUUAUACUACUUGAAGCAUUCUAGAAAUCAAAUUUCAUACUUUUUCGAUAUUGUUCUCCUGUCCAUCAAGUGGAUACAAAAAUGAACGGCUAAAAAUAAAUAUUCUUUAAAAAAUAAAAAUAAUAAUAGGAGUUUUGUAAUCAAGAUCAAAAGUAUAGAUUUUAUUUUAAAUAGUUAAAAAAAAUUCUAACCAAAAUUCAACAGGUUUGGAUAUCAUUAUGUUAUUAAAAGAGAAACGUAACGUUAAAAUUACGAAUUUUAAAACCCUUUGAUAAUUAGGUCAAUGAUAUCAAAAAAACUUGAAAUUUAAUUUUUAGAUACUUCAAAGGAUAUAAGUCAUGUUCAACGAUAUCAAUCGUCGAUUUGAAGGCUCAAUCAUUAAAAAUAAAUAGGUGGCAGCAAAACUUGUUUACUACCAAUAGCAUUUCAACCUAUCUCUCUCUCUUUCUCUCUCCCUCCCUCUCUCUCUCUCUCUCUCUCUAUAUAUAUAUAUAUAUAGAGAGAGAGAGAGAGAGAGUUGAGCUAGAAUACUAUCGGUAGCAAACGGGCUCCGUUGCGGCCCAUUUGUUUUCGAUGAUGGAGCCUCCAAAUCGAUGAUCAAAAUCGUUGAAUAUGAUCUAUACCACUUAAAGUAUCUAGAAAUCAAAUUUCAUACUUUUUCGAUAUUGUUCUCUUGUCCAUCAAGCGAGUGUAAAAAUGAACAGCUGAAAAUGAAUAUCCUCUAAAAAGUGAUGAUAGAAAUUUUGUAAUCACGAUCAAGAGUAUAGAUCUUAUUUUAAAUAAUUUAAAAAAUUUUCUAACAAAAAUUCAAUUGAUUUGAAUAUUUUUACACCGUUAAAUGAGAAAACGCCUCAUAUCAACCAUUAAAAUUACAAAUUUUGAAACCCUUUGAUCAUUAGGCAAAUGAUGUCGAAAAGAUGUGAAAUUUAAUUUUUAAACACUUCAAGUGGUAUAGAUCAUAUUCAACGAUGCCGAUCGUCGAUUUGGAGGCUCCAUCAUCGAAAACAAAUGGGUGGCAACGAAACCCGUUUGCUAUCGAUAGUAUUCUAGCUCAAUUAUAUAUAUAUAUAUAUAUAUAUAUAUAUAUAUAUAUAUAAAAGACCUCUUGUUUGGUGCUUUAGCUGCUACUCCAGUUAUAAGCCGUUGGACAAAACAUAGAAAACCCAAAAAAAAAAUAAAAAAAUAAAUCAAAUAACACUGCUCGGCUACGCAUAACAUUGCUGGCCACAAAGUAAAUCCAACUAACCCUUAUCUUCUUAACAGCUUUCUCUAACAGCAGUUACGUAAAACUCCCGAGUUAACAAAACAAAGAUCUUUAAGACCUAGAGAGGACAUCUCAAAGUUCACAGAAAAUACUUCAUAACACUCACACUGCUGGCAAUUGGUUUCUCAUAUUUACUCAAAGAUUGAAAACUGUAACGCAAAAAAACUGAGCCCGUAAGAUAGAGUUUGGUGCAUCCAACCAGCAUCACACACUCACACACUCGCAAAACCAAUGCAAGUUUACAAUUUCACAUUUCAAAUUACUUUUAACCGGUUGGCUCAGUAACGAGUAAACAAAAGAUUUUUUACACAAUGUACUUCAUACUACUUUCUGUUACACUGCAUUUUGCACAUCGGCAUAUUUUGUGAAGAUUGAAGAAUCAGAAAAAUGAGACAGAAACUCACAAUACAACACAAUGCCACAAGACAAGAACGAUAGUGUGAGGAACCGGAAGGAGAGAGAAGAGGUACCUAUCAAUCUAAGGCCAAUUGGUGAAUUCAAACACCUUUUGCACUAUAUCGAACCCGGUUGGGAUCUGCCAUAUGAACAACAGGACGUUCAAUGUGUUCAAUGCAAUGUGGAGAUUCCUUGCAGUCUCAUUUCCCUUCUGCAUGGCAGGGACAAGCGCUGCGGCCGCUGCCCACAGCACAGUGAUAGCUACAACAACAGAUGAGCACACGCAAAUAUUUGGAAAAAUGAGUUUGCAAUUGUAAUGCUACUAUGAUUGAGGACAAAAAAAAUUUUGAAUAGAUGCUAUCAUAUACCACCAAGUUUUUGUUGUUAUUGUUUGGCGGUAGGAUUUCUUGUUCAUGGGCUGAUGGCUAUCAUUCUGUGUGAAUAGUAGACUAUCCUAAAUGUUUUUUGUCAAAAUAAAACAUAUUUAUAGUAGAUAUUCUACGAUGACGAUGGAUAGAGGUAAAAGACUUUCUUGAUCCUCAGAUAGAUGAAAAUAUAGCACGCACGCGAAUAAUCUAGCAUACCUUUUUCUAUAAUAAAUAAAAUACAGUUAAUAACUAAAUUAGCCAUUAGAGUUUCACCCUCAAACUUCUUAUUAUAACAAUCUAGUCUACCGACCGCCCCUAGCGCAAGUGGCAAAGGACUUGGUGGUUGGUACCCAAGGUCUCAAAUCCGAAUCCUAGUUGAUUCACAUUUUCAGCUAAGUUUAUUUCUAAAUAAAAUAAACGAAGCGGGUAGUAUGCUACCCAUCUCUUAAAAAAAAAAAAAAACAAUCUAGUCUCUGAAAUUUGUUCUGCAUACCAAUUGGGUUCUUAGUUACUCCAGCCUAGGAGAACGAAAUUGAAACUAUUAUAGUUGAACUUCUGAGGAUGAAAUUGAAAUUUGCAUCACACUACAUGGACUAAAUUAGUAAUUAAUCCUGUAUAAGUGUACACACUACAUGGACUAAAUUAGUAACUAAUCCUGUAUAAGAGUACACAAAUCGUAAGAAGCUUACGAAGAAUAUAAUCAUCUUCCAGUUUUCUUUACAUUCUCCUUAGUACUUAAAGAGGUCAAUGUAGUAUUGCACGAGGGAUUAAGAGGGCACAAUCACAAAGAGAUUAGAAGAAUAUUUCGAAUUUUCCUCAUCUUUCUAUUUUAUCUGGCAAUUUUGAAAAUAUAAACAGGAUGUGCAGUAUUUAUCACUAUAAAGGAUGAAGCACCAACAAUACAGUCCACUGCUGAGGAUACCAUUACGUAAUGACAAUGAGGCCAAAGAACUUAUAAUAAAGCAAGAUUUAAGUGCCCAUCGAUAUAGGCUGUAUCUACCAUACUAUAUCGUGCCAACAAAAUAUCAGCACGAUACAGCUCCCAUACCGAUGGCACAGCUCAAAACUCUCUUUUCUUUACAUUAGUAAGUAAUUUUUUCAAUAAAGUUCAAAAGACUUGAUAAAGAUACAUAAUAAGCAAUUAAAAUAUUUUGUUGCUAAAAAAAAUAAAUACUUUAUGUAAUUAUAUGUAGGUAACACAUAUAUUUUUUGUGACCAGCAUGCAUCGGCACAGUCCGGCACGCACCAUAUCAUACCGUGCCGGCAAGUUUUCGACACGACCCCGUGCCACGGAACUUAAAUCCUUGCGAGAAAAAGCCUUGACAAACGAUCAUUCACUCAAGAUUUAGUAUUUCUAAAUCACCAAAAAUUACACUACUUUUUAGUAAUCAACAGGGAAAGUUUUUAUUCUCAAAUUCUGGUUUUGAACAAAACUAUUUCCUACUGUCGCUAACAUAAGUACACUGAGCAAUCAGAUUAAGUUGACAGAUCCAUGUAUUGUUGCCGACUACAGCCCCUAUGCCAACUACAGCCCCUAUGAUUAAACACUUUCCUGGGAACAAAUCUGCCAGGGAAAGUAGUUUCAAUUCAAAGUAUUUUAUUUUCUGUGGUAAAUGAGUAAGUGGCAAUCUCUCUACCCAACACUUAAUAUACCAAAAGCAUCGAGGGUUGGUAUUCCGAAAGCACUUUACGCUGACUAUACAAAAUAUAUGUACAAGCAGACAAAGAAUGACAGGGCCACCAGUAUUGGAGUGCUAAAGAAAAAGAAUGAUUGAAUAAUUGAGUUAGGUUUUCUAUACACUUGGGCUCGAAUUUAAUCUCUCACAAGAAGCGAAGAAAGAGACUAUAAUUACUAUUGCACUCUGAUUAUAGCCAUAGAUAAAUGUAGUCCUGGUCUAAGUGUUUGACUUCGGACAAAGAGCCGUAAUUGGAAAAGGUCACCUAUCCAUUUCAUAGAGUAUUAUACAUGUGGAAAUCCAAGGAAGGAAACAACCCCAGAUCCGCCUAGACUUUGAAUUGAUUGCAAAUCGCUCAAAUACUAGAAGUUGGAAAGAUGAAAUUUAUUAUGUGAAUAAUUGAUUUGCACUAAUCAACUACCCAGCUUGAUUUUCUCGCCUUCUAUCUGCUGUCGUUACGAGAUGGUCAUGCGACAGGAAAGAUACUAGAAAUGAAGUUGAAAAUCUAACGUUAGAAAAUUUAGUGCUAACGUAAACCCUUUCCACAAAAUUUAGGGUUAAUUGACCCUGUCCGGCAAGAAAAUCCCGAACAGGAUGUAAACCCUUCCCAAAACCAAAUCUGAACAAAUUUUAUUUCAAAUGGAAUUCAAAUCAAAUCUGAUCCAGGACCCAUAAUAUGAAGAUUAAAGAUGCUUAAUAGAUUCUUAAGCUAAAUUAAAUAGAGCAGCUAAGGCAUCGUCCGGUAUUAUCACAGUUUGUUCAUUUUCGUGAACACAAACUCUAUCCAAUGGAACAUAGGUAAGUUCAUCUACUAGUGCAUCCAACCACAUAUAGUUCUUUUAUGAAACAAAUAGAAAAAACAGUAAGAAAUCUAAGUGAGCUGUAACUAUUUAACAACUAGUCAUUCCCCCUUUCUUUGAUAAUAUAUACAUGGUAUCUCUAAAACAGCAUUUCUAUUUGAGAAACUAUAGAUUUUCAGCCUCCUUUGGGUACACUUCUGCUUGUAAUCUGUACGACAAAAACCAAAAGCUUACUAGUAACAUCUUUUUUGCUUCUUUUUUGUAACAAAGAUGCCUUUUGGCAAUUGGCCAGACUACAUCGCAAGCUAGCCAAUGAUGACAAAAGUAGCGAUGUCCCUCUAUUGGCACAUCCAACCACAGAAUUGUUACAUAUAAAAAUUAAAAAAACAACAGCAAUACCAAACAAGGUAUAACUACAUUAAUUUUAUUAGUUAUACUUUUUCUUUUGAUAAUAAUAUGCAGUAUACAAUAAGUGUGAAACAACCGAUGUACUCUAAAAGCUUAAGCUGUUAGAGAACGGUGUUUAAACAUUUUUAUAUUUAACACUCCCCCUCACGUCUGGGCUCGAAACCUUUUAAUCAGCCCAUGACGUGGGCUUGAAUUAAAUGGGAGGAAAUUAAUAUGCUAGGAGUCUGGCGUGACUCGAACUCAGGACCUCCUGCUCUGAUACCAUGUGAAACAACCGUUGUACUCUAAAAGCUUAAGCUGUUAGAGAACGGUGUUUAAACAUUUUUAUAUUUAACAAUAAGAAUGUUCUUAGUCAAGAAACUAAAAAUUUAAGGCCAAAUUUGGUUAGACUUGACACUUGCUUUGUUUUCUUAACAGUGAAAUUUUAUGCGACUGAAUGUGCUAGCAUAUGACAAAUUAUUAGCAAACUAUAUAUGUAUAAAGUUUGUUCAGCCAGAGGAAAAAAGAAAAGAAAAAAAAAAAAAUUAGUGACAACUUAUUUCACUUGUUUCCUUUUUUUGUGAAGAAAAUGAGUUUGCAAGCUAAUCAACACGUCCCAAGAAUAAAAAAGUUCAUCCAUUAGUGCGUUCAAAUGCAUGGAAAUGUAAGCAUAGUGAAACAAGGCUUUAAAAUCGUUGAUUUGUAAUUUCAAUUUUCAUGUAAAAAUAGGACCGACACUAGAUUGGGUCCGGAUGUAACUUCUAAAGCAUCAAUGGUUAAAUCGCCUAGUGUACAAAAGUUCCCUACACAGAAAAUUCGCAAUCAAUUUCCAAUGUAUGAAAAUCUUCUUUUGGAUCAGCCAGUCAGCAACUUUAGUAAAAUCACAAUUUUAAGGCGCUAGGUCACAUACUAAAACACUCGACCUAUCGUGUCCUUACAACAGGUAUUAACAGGUUGUGACAAUGCAUGGGACAAUCUCACAGACCCAGUUCUUUUCUUAUUUUUCCUUCAGUGGUCCUCAAGAAAUGCUACAUGCUAUAUAUAAGACAGAUCUCAAAGUGGAAGCAAUAAAACAAGCGCAGGUAAAAACAGAGGGGGAAGGGAGUAAGCUUUCCAGAGCAUACCAGCUCCAGCGAAGAGGUGGGGCCCGGGGAAGAGCUUCCCUGUGCGGAACCACGUAUUUAUUGCCCCUCCCACUGCCUCGAACACUCCGAAUCCCAGCAGUAUCGACCCUGCAUUAUAGUGCCGAUCCCUGUACGAUCCCUUCAGCAGCUCCUUCCUCUCCUGUUCAAAUCCCAACACCAAAAAUUUCACAUCUAAAUUCUAAUUUCUGCACUCCCAUGAAAAAUAAUAAUUGAAACAAACACGGAGAUAAUUAUGAAAUUGUGCUAUGGCAGUAAUUGUUGCUACUCAAAGAACAGUUUUAACAUCGUUACUCAUUUACAUGUUUAAAAGAUCUGACAAAAUAUACAACACAAACUGACGGAAGAGGCAAAAGAAACUACAAAUAGAACAACACUAAGAAAUUUAUGUUAUUAUAUGAUGAAUGUAAAUGAAUCAAAGCCUCGUGAAACAGAGUCGUAGGGCCGAUUCCGAUGCUAUAAUACAAAAAGAUAGAUAUAUGAAGUAGAAUACGACAAAAUGGUUCGGGAAUAAUCAGAAAACUGAUUUUGGCUCCGAUACCAUAUUACCAAAAACAUCUGUUGAAAUUGGGGAGCUAAGGACUAGUUGAAAUCUUAUAGGAUACGGUUCGGGAAUAGUCCGGGGUCACCUCGGUGAGCUUCUGAAUCUUGGCUUCGACCGGGGAGACCUCCGCAGGGGGCGGCGGCGACGCAUCGGAAGCAGCGGCGCCAGCGGGAACUGCGGCGGCGGCGGGGGCCGGGGAUUUGACCUGCUGCUUCUUGAGCUGGUUGAUCUCGUCCUGGAUGGUGCGGACGCGGCGCCACUGCCACCCCAAGUACCCCGCCCACAGCGUGUAGAAGAAGAGCCCGCUCAUCACCAACGGGUGCACCAGCGCCAGCGUGCGCCCCUCCAAGAUCCCGAACUCCCCUCCCACCGCCAUCGCGUCCUUCAUCGACCCCAUCCCCAAAUUAAUUUCUAGGGUUUCGUUACACACGCGGUACGAGAUCAAAGAUGAUGAGGAGAGGAGUACGUGCCUGGGGAUUGACGAAGAGGGGCAAUGAGAACGCCGCGGCGGCGGCGGAUGCUGCUGCGGCGGAGGGUAGGGGGAGGGAUUCGGAGAGCGAUCGGAGAGCGACGGAGAGGUGGAAAUGGAGAUCGAGCGACGACGACGACGACGACGACGACGACGACGAUGGGGUUUUGGAGAGCUUAGAGGAGAUAGGGAUGGGAUUGGGGAGGAGAUUGAGAAGCCCCAUCGUUGCGGCGGUGCUCGCCAUUGUUGCUCCCUCUCAAAGUUUCAGAGAGAGAGAGAGAGAGAGAGAGAGAGAGAGCGUGUGUGUGUUCGUGUGAUUUUGGAGGGAAAGAGGAGAUAAGAGACGAGGGGACGAGAAAAGGAGAUGGUACGGAGAAAAUGAAUGGCGGAGUAUGCGGACGCGUGGGGCUACGAGAUUAGCCGUUGGAUUCGUGCUACAGUGGCAUUUGGGUAAUUAAAGAACGGUGGAUGGUGGAGGAACGAUGGGUCCGCAUGCGACUCCGCAUGGAGGAUUUCGGAAGAGGAAGCGUCUUGAAGCUUCUGGUGAGCACACGCACGCACGUAAUACAAAUUGCACCCCUAGUCCCUAACCUUUCAGCAAGUUUUAUUUUGGUAUACAAACAUUUAAGUUGACCAGUAGUUGUCUCUAAAUUUACAAUUAAAAAAAAAAUUACUUAUACACCUCUGAAGUGUAAAUAUUAUAUUUCUUAUCUUAGAAUCUACAAAAAAAAAAAAAAAAAAAAAAAAAAAAAGCCGAAAUAGAUUUUAGUGAAAUAAAAAAAUGAUGUGAUAAGUAAAAAAAUAAUAGCUUUUAGAUAGAAUGAGUGCAAAAUAUACACUCCCGUAGCAUUGCUCAUAAAAAAAAAAAUAAUGAAUACAUCCAAAAAUUAGUGUAUAUUUUCCAUUCGAUUUAUCCAAUAGAUGAGAUAUUUUUAUUAAUCACAUUAAAUAACUAGUAAGAUGUAUAUCUUUCAAUCACUUAUUGGAUGUGUGGUGUGUAGUUAAUCUUAAAAAUUUCAGAAACACUACUGAUACGCAAAAAAGGAUAUAAAUCUUACGAUCUUUUAUUCCGAGAUCCAUAUCGGUUAAAAAAAAAAAAAAGGUUCAAGUUUGUAUUGACAAAUCUUACACUCUUUUAUCCAUCGGUCUAUAUUGAUGGAGAAAAAAAAAUUGAGCAAUACUACAUACUAGGGGCGGAAACGAGCAAGCUCGAGCGAGCUUAUGAACCUGUUUGGCCUAAUUUCUGAAAAAGUGAUUUCUGAAAAUAUGAUUUUGAUUUAGAGAAUUGAUUUUGCUUAAAAGCUGUAGAGCGUUUCGCCGAAAUAGAUAAAAGUGACUUUUCUGAAAUAAUUUUGAAAAACUAUUUGGCAUUUUUUGUUAUGUUUGCAUAAAUUAAUAUUUUUAUUAAAUAUUAUUUUAAAAUAAUUUAAAAUCUAAAUUUAAAUUUGAACUAAAAUUAAAAUUUUUAAAUUUCAAAAUUAUACAAAAUUUAAAAUUUGAUAUUUAAAUUUUAAAAAUAAUUUAAAAUUUUAAAAAUUUAAAAAUUAAAAAUAUAAAUAUAAAUUUAAAAAUAUAUAUAAUUAUGAAUUUUAAAAUAUAAAAUUUGAAUAUUUAAAAUUUAAAAUUUAAAUUUUGAAUAUUUAAAUUUAAAAUUUAAAAUUUAAAUUUUGAAUAUUUAAAAUUGAAAAAUAAAAAUUUGAAUAUUUAAAAUUUAAAAUUUAAAAUUUAAAAUUUAAAAUUUAAAAUUUUAAAAUUUUAAAAUUUUGAAAUUUAUAAUUUGCAGAUUAAAAAUUAUAAUUUGAAAUUUUAAAAUCUAAAAUUUGAGAUUUGAAAUUUAAAAUUAAAAUUUAAAGUUUGAAAUCUAUUUUUCAAAAUUUAAAAUUUAAAAGUUAAAAUUUAAAAAUUCAAAAAUGAAUCUGAAAAUUAAAAUUUAAAAUUAAAUUUAAAUGUAAAUAUUGAAAUUAAAAUAAAAAUAAAAAUUUGAAGUUUAAAUCCAAAAUCAGAAUCAAACUUCAAGAAGUAGCUUUUUUCAUCUUCUGAUUCUGAGGCCUUUAAAAUUAGAUUUCUGAUUCUAAAAAGCAGAAUCAUAUUUUAAAAGUGUGUUGCCAAACGUUCUAUUGAGCCGAAAAUUACUUUUCAACUCAAAAGCACUUUUUGAAAGUUAGGCCAAACACCCCCUAUCUCUGCUCAAGCUUGGCUUGAAAUUAAUUUCGAGCCUAAAUUUAGGCUCAAGCUUGGCUUGAAAUUAAUUCGAGCCGAGCUAGAGCGAGCCUAACUUCAAGUCGAACGAGCUGUAGCCCUAAACGAGCUGCUUGAAAUUCUUAACAUCAUGCAAUCUAUAAUUUAAUUUUUAUAAAAUAUUAUCUAAAAUUUGAUAUGAAAAAUAUCUAAUAGUUUAACAUAUAAAAUAAAUGCAUGAAAUACGAUAUUAUAAUACUAAAAUAAUUAGAAAAAUCGACUCUGCGAGGAAGGAAAAAAGAGAGAAAGAGAGCAAUUAGAGUAGGAUUUUGCUGGUUUGAUUUUGUAGGCCCAAUAAUCUAAAUUCUAUAUACAUAUAAUUAAAAUACAUAAUAUAUAUUAUUUUAUAUAAUUAAAAUAUAUAUUAUAUAUAAUUAUAUAUAGAGAGAGUUUGGUUACUAUAUAUACUUUUAUAAGUAUAAACCCCUUUAUACUUAUAAGUUUUCGACCGUUAGAUCUAUUCUUUUGACCAUUUUCAUCCGUUAAAUUAUACUAUUCAACGAACCACCCACUCAAUCUUAGGGGACCACUGUCAUUCUAAUCGCACAUCCAACGACCGAAAAUUUAUAAGUAUAAAAAGGUUUAUACUUAUAAGAGUAUAGUAGCCCGAGCAUAUAUAUAUAUAUAUAAUUAGGCUACUAUACUAUUAAUAACAAAAACCGCUUGCUAUUAGGUUUUCAGCCCUUGGAUGAAAGGAUGUGCGGUUAGAAUGAUAGUAGCCCCCUAGGGUUGAGUGGGUGGCUAGUUGAAUAUUAUGAUCUAACGGAUGAAAAUGGCUAAAGGGAUAGAUCUAAUAGCAGAAAACUCGAUAGCACCAAAUGCUUGAUACUAUCGAUAGUAUAAUAGCUGAACUUUAUAUAUAUAUAUAUAUAUUAUAAUAUAUAUAGGCAGAUUACGGCAAAACUUAAUAAUACAAGCGCUUAGUAUCUAAGAUAUAAUAGAUAAUAUAAUAGCCGGAUAUAUAUAUAUAGAGAGCAGAAGAGAGAGUCGCAUUACUAUAUUAUCGAUAGUACUAAAUGUUGGUAUUAUCGAAUUUUUUGUGCUUAGUAGGGGUGGACGAGACGAGACGAGCGAGCUUAUGUCAGCUCAAAUUCGGAUUGAAAUUAAUUUCGAGCUAAAUCUAGGCUCAAGCUCGGCUUGAAAUUAAUUCGAGCCGAGUUCGAGCGAGCCUAAUUUCGAGUCGAGCGAGCUCGAGCUCUAAACGAGCCGAUUGAAAUUCUCAAUUAUAUAAUCAAUAGUUUAAUUUUUAUAGAACAUUACCUAUAAUUUGAUGCAACAUGUCCAAUAGUUCAAAAUACAAAAUAAUUACAAGAAAUAUGAGCUAGGGUGACUGCCUGACUGGGUGAGGGUCUGAGGGAGAGAGAGAGAGAGAGAGAGAGAGAGAGAGAGAGAGAGGAAGGAAAAAAAAUUAGGGAUUUGGGAAUUUAAAUGUUAUCAUGUUUUAGGGUUAUGUGCAACAGUGAAAGUCUGAAAGAGAGAGUGUUAUGUAAAUUUAGAGUUGGGCUCAAUUGCACGGUUGUACUUAUUGGGUUUAUUUUAUGGGCCAACAAUAAUGGCCCAAAUUAAAUUAAAGCCUAUAUAUAAUUAAAUUACAUUAUAUAUAUAUAUAUAUAUAUAUAUAUAUUCGAGCUUUUCGAGCCUAAUUCGAACGAGCGGAGUAAUACUCAAGCUCGGCUUGAAAUGAAUUUUGAGCCUUUUAUUCAACUAACUACCCACUCAACCCUAGAGGAUCACUGUCAUUCUAACCACACAUUCCUUCAUCCAAAGAUCGAAAAUCUAAUAGCAAGUGAUUGGUACUAUUAAUAGUAUAGUAGACUAUAUUUAUAUGUAUAUAUAUUUCGAGCUUUUCGAGUUUAAUUCGAGCGAGCCGAGUAAUACUCAAGCUCGGCUUGAAAUUAAUUUCGAUCAUAAAUUUAGGCUCAAGCUUGCUUGAAAUUAAUUCGAGCCGAGCUUGAGCGAGCCGAAUAUCGAGCCGAACACGAGUCGAACACGAGCGGGCUCGCUCAUUUGCCAGCCCUACUACAUACACUUGUAAAUCUUACAAUAUUCUUCCAAUUUAAAAUUCACAAAAAAUUAAAUAGAAUUUCGGUUAAAAAAAAAUUGAUAAGAUAAGUAGAAAGAGUUCUUAGAUGAGCUGAGUGUAAAAUAUAUAUUUAGUUAGGAGUGCAUAUCCAGCAUUACUUUAUAAAAAAAUAUUAUUGAAAGUUUAGAGAUUAAAUUUAGUGUAAACUACGGUCCUCAACUAUGAGGCACGUGAAACGUUAGCCUUUAAACUUUAGCUUAUUGUAAAUCUGGCUUGAAGUUUCAAAAUUAAAGUGUAAACUUUCAAAAUUAAAGUGAUAAUGAUUAAUUUAGUAACAUUUACUUUUAUACUUUAUGUAUCCAUAUCAUAUAUGAUUUGUAUAGAUUGAUAUAUAUAUUCUACUUUCAUAUGGAUAAAAAAAAUCUUGCUUAUUUGGUCGGCCUGUUGCAUGUGCCCAAAUGAGCUUUUUUGGCGGUAUUGAAGAAUAACGCAUCUUUUAUUUCUAACUUUUUUAUUUAGAUUUUUCUAAUUAAUUAAGUUCAAAAAAAUUUAUUAAUUUUUAUAGCUCAAUUAACUUGUAGUAGUUAAUUAAUCUUAUUUUGUACGCUACAAAGCAGUUUAAGAUAAGUGAAAGAAUCUAAUGCAUUAGAUGGAUGAAUGUAAAUCUUGCACCUGGGAAUGAGGUAUAUGAAUAGCAUUCUUUAUACUCUUCUGUAAAAAUCUAUGAAGACCCCCUCAAAUGUUUGCGCUUUUUAAGUGUCCGGCCCCCUCAAUUUACCCUUUUUUGAAUUAACACUCCCUCAAUCUUAAUUUGUUAAAAAUUAAACUAUUUUGUCAUAUAAAUUAUAUAUUCAUCAAAUUUAUCAAUAAUUUUUAUUACAUUUAAAAAUUAAUUUUAGUAAUAAAUUUAUUUUUAUUAAUAACUUUAAUUAUUUUUAGUAUUUAAAACUAGAAUAGCCCAGUUGAGUAGCUAAAAAUCAGAAUUAAUAGUCCACCUGAGCAGCUAAACUUAAUUCAAACUAAAAGGAAACAGAACUUUAAAAAAUUUUGGUCCUCAAACUAUGAGUGGGAUGACAUUUUGGUCCUCAAAUUUUAUAAUAUCUUACUUAAAUUUUUUGUAUUGUUGUAAUUAAGUAACACAUUUCAAUUUAGUUGACUAAAUAUUGAUAAGUUGUUGGUAUAAAAGUGAUAUAAUAACUUAAUUAUUAUCGCAUAAUCAAUCACAACACUCAACACAGCACUUCUCAUCGAUGAUUUAUCAAAUAUUUAAUCAACUAAAUUAAAAUCUGUGCGACUUAAUUGUAAUAAUUUUAAAAAGCUAAUAAAAAUUUAAGGAUCACAGUACCACGUUCCACAUUGUUUAAGGACCACAGGUGUAAUUUUUCCGAAAUUUUUUUAAAAGAAAAAAUCAAAGUUGAAGUUCCUGUUUCGAAAUUGUCUACAGUUGAGAGGGAUCUCCGCGCACUUCUCAUCGUAUGCUUUUGUUACCGUGCGAGCUCAGGGUUAAAAUGAUUAGUCCCACAUCGGGAUUUAAACCACACUAUUCCCUCGUCUUUAAUACGUCAAUGCGACCGUUGUGACGUGGGGGAGCGGCAGGAGGCGUCAUCGCAUCUGUUUAUUCAAACAACGCUCGUGCAGCGUUCUAAACCCUAAACCUUCCCCAAUUUGGCGGGAAAUUUGCGAAAAAAAAAAAUGUUUCUCGAAAAGCGGGCCCACUUUCUCCGGGGUUUCCGGCCUAUCAAAAAAAACCAAAGGAAAAAAAGAAAAACCCCGAUGCCUUGCGAUGAUGAUGCCUCCCCUGUUGUUGUGAUUUGCCGCGGAAGGUUCGUAGGGGGCUCCUCACAAGCCGAUCAUCCUCGCCUUCCACACCCCCCCUUUUUUUUUUUUUAAUUGUGAGAGCUAUAAUAAAUAAUAUUUUGAUUUUUAAAUCACUAUUUUUCAUAAUUUUGAUUUGAACUUUUUGAGCUCGUUAUGAUUUAGUUUUGUAAGUUUUGUUUUCUGAUUUGUCGUAUAUUUAAAAAAAUUAGAAUUUGUGGAGAAUUGAAUUUUUUUAAGCUAAAUUAUCGUUUUAGUUCUUUAAAUUAUAAGACGUGUGAUACAUUGAUUUUCAAAUUAUUAUUUUUUAUAACUUGGGCUCGAGCUUUCUAAAUCGUUACAAUUAAGUUUCAUAAUUUUUGUUAUCUGAUUUGUCGUAGAGUCAAAUAUAUUUCUAUUUCAAAAAAUUUUGUAUUUUUAACUUUCAAAUUACAAGACGUGUGAUACUUUGAUUUUUAAGCUGUUACUUUUUUGUAAUCUUAAACUAUAAUUAAGUUUUAUAAUCUCUGUUAUUUUUUAUUUUCAAACUACUAUUUCUUAUAACUUUGGCUCAAGCUUUUUGAAUCGUUACAAUUAAGUUUCAUAAUUUUUGUUAUCUGAUUUGUCGUAUAAUCGAGUAUAUUUCUAUUUCAAAAAAUUUCAUACUUCUAGAUUUUAAAUUAUAAGACCUGUGAUAUUUUGAUUUUUAAACUAUUAUUUUUUAUAAUUUUAAACUAUAAUAAAGUUUUAUAAUCUUUGUUAUCUGAUUUGUCGAAUAUUCAAAAAAUUAUAAUCUGUGGAGAAUUUUUUCAGCUAAAUUAUACCUUUAUAGUUCUUAAAUUAUAGAACAUGUGAUAAACUGAAUUUCAAACUAUUAUAUUUUAUAAUUUUGGUUCGCGCUUUCUAAAUCAUUAUAAUUAAGUUUCAUAAUUUGUGUUAUCUGAUUUGUCGUAGAGUCAAACAUAUUUCUAUUUCAAAAAAUUUUGUAUUUUUGGUUUUUAAGUUGCAAGACGUGUGAUACUUUGAUUUUUAAACUAUUAUUUUUUAUAAUUUUAGACUAUGAUUAAGUUAAGUUUUAGAACCUUUAUUAUCUGAUUUUUCGUAUAUUCAAAAAAUUAGAAUAUGUGGAGAUUUUUUUUCAGCUAAAUUAGAAUAUGUGGAGUUUUAUAAUCUUUAUUAUCUGAUUUGUCGUAUAUUCAUAUUCUAUUUUUUUUUCAAAAAAUUAGAAUAUGAUAUACUUUGAUUUUCAAACUAUUAUUAUUACUUAUAAUUUUGGCUCGAGCUUUCUGAAUCUUUACAAUUAAGUCUCAUAAUUUUUGUUGUCUAAUUUGUCGUAGAGUCAAAUAUAUUUCUAUUUCAAAAAAAUUCAUAUUUUUAGUUUUUAAAUGAUAAGACGUGUAGUACCCUUGGCUUUGAGUUGGAGACGUUUUGCGCAAAAUAGACGUAAAAACGGACUUUGAAACUCAAGAUUUUUAUUGUAGAGGACUAAAGUGAAAAAUCUAGAUGUAUAGGGGCUUAUGGGCAAUUGUUUUUACUUAGUCGGUGGAGUCCACGUGGUCCUCCAUUCUCUAUUCUCAUCCUUUCUUUUUGUUUUUUUUUUUUAUUAUAUUGCCAAGUUGUGAGCUAAUUAAUUAGCAGGGUAGCAUUGGGUUCGUUCGUGCGAGCGAGCAAGGCGAGCGAGCGAGUCAAGUGCGCGCGUCAUAGUAGCGCCGUUGGAGGCUGGGCGAGCGCGGAAUUUCUUUUCCUAUUGACUUCUCGCUGUCGUGGAUUAGCGUUUGAAAUGGGUUUAUCAUCGGAUUUCUACUCCUAUAGUCCCGUUGGUCGACAUAUAUAAUUAGUGUAUAUUCGUCGUUAUUGUUUUUAGCUCAAAUUCAUAGUUAUGCAUGUUUUAGACAUAUGAAUUAAAUUUGGAGCAUGUUAUUAAGUGUUAAUAAUUAUAUAUGUUGGACUUGAAUAUGAUAUAAGAGAAAACCAGCGUUCGGGACCUGUCAUAUGUUAAACUACCUAAUUUAGCUCUAGGAGCCGCUGUAUUUUUAUACUGUUGCAGUAUUCUUAUGGUGAGUACCCCAGAUAGUUCAAAUUACUGUUACGCUCAUGCUGGGAUGCCGAGCCGAUUUUUACAGUAGUGUUUAUAUUGUUCCGGACUAGUGGGUGCCGUAGUGGUUGACGACGGACUUAAUUAGAUUUGUCAUUUUGAUAUUAGACUGUGCCGAGGGCACGUGACUAGUUAGUUGGUAGUCCAGUUAGACCUUAUUUAUUUGACCGAGCCUGUGAGAGCCAGAAUGAAACGAUAGAGACACUUGUAAACUCGUUGGGUCGCGCCCACGAAUGACAUUCCGGAAUGAGGUUUCAGUGCAAUGAGUGUCACAGUUUUUGUUAGACAGUUCUUGAGCCGGCCACCCUCGGGGUGGUGUACGGCGUAGCGGGAUACAGGCAGGGUGGGUCCGUUUGGACAGCCCGGGUGAGAUAGCCAGUGACUUUUACUACAGUUGGUUAGUGUAGAGCAUUCUAGUGUAGGAACAUAUAGCUGUAGAUUUCUUUCUAGCUUUUUCUUACUAGCUCUGUUCCCUUCUGUAGACUUAAUGGGUGAACCGAUGAUGUUGAGGGCGGUACCUACUGAGGACUACUUGUUUUUACAGUAGUUCUCACGCCCAGUUGUUACCACUGUUUUGCAGAGCCACCGGUUCCGGCUGCUGCACCUUCUGAGGCUGAUCGUGGUAAGGGCGUUGCGAGCUAGAGCCCUACCCGACGAGUCGCUGUGAUAGAGGAUCACCAGCUGCAGGUAGUCGUACUUUUGGUUUUUGAGUUCAUGUACAUACAGUUGUUGUAACUCGCUGGAGCGAGUACUUUUGGUCUGAUCUUUAUGUAUGUAUAUGAGACUUGUUUUAUUCUACCUGUUUAGUUUCUUUACAGCUCUAUACUACUGGUUAUAGUAUUGUAUGUUUUAUAAUUACCGUUACGUUUCGUAUAUAGAAAAAAUUCUUUGUAUACGGCGGAUUUGUCGGCGUGCCCGGGGAAUGUGUAAUCCGGGGCGUGACAAGACGUGUGAUACUUUGAUUUUUAAACUAUUAUUUUUUAUAAUUUUAAACUAUAAUUAAGUUUUAUAAUCUUCGUUAUCUUUGAUUUUCAAACUAUUAUUUUUAUAAUUAUGGCUCGAGCUUUCUGAAUCGUUACAAUUAAGUUUCAUAAUUUUUAUUGUUAGAUUUAUUGUAUAGUCAAAUAUAUUUCUAUUUCAAAAAAUUUAAUAUUUUUAGUUUUUAAAUUACAAGACGUGAUAUUUUAAUUUUCAAACUAUUAUUUUUUAUAAUUUUGAUUUGAACUUUCUAAAUCGUUGUAAUUAUGUUUUAUUGUUUUUGUUUUCUGAUUUGUCGUAUAUUCAAAAAAUUAGAAUAUGUGGAGGAUUUUUUUCCAGCUAAAUUAGAGUUUUAGUUCUUAAAUUAUAAUACAUUUGAUACUUUCAUUGUAAAACUCAAAGUUGUCCAAAAUAUCCGAUAUAUCAUACUCGAUUCGAACCCUACCCAAACCCUAUCAGGACCCAAACCGGACCCGUUAAAAAAUGGAUAGUAUAAGGGUAAAAAAAAUUACAAAUUAAAGUUUCGGGUAUAGGUCUGAAUAUUUUAUACCUAUACCCGAUUUGGACCCGACCCAAAUCCAACUUUUAAAUGGGUAGGGUUCAGAAUAAUUUUCAAAUCUAGACCCGGAUCCGGACUCGAUGAAAUAUCUGAUAGUAAAUAAAAAGGUUUUGAACUUUGAAGUUGAAGAAUCAAUUUUAAUAGAACUUAUAGAUGAAGGGUCUCUAAGUAUUUUCAUUCUAGAGAAACAUUGAAAUCCUAGCCGCUCUUUUACUCUUUUUGUUUCUAAUCUUUUUACUCUUUAUUUUUUUUAUUUCAUUUCCGUCUAAGAAUUUUUUAUGAAACAAUAUUUCCAUCGUCGUCAUCAUCAGCGAUAUUAAUUCUGUACAGGCGUGACACAAGUGAGUUUUUCCCAAAUCCCUUCUCCAAUUAUAGUCGACAACCUUGUUUUUUUUAAUGGAUAUUCUAUUUAGUAAAUUUUCUGAUUUCUCUUUUUUUUUUUUGAAUGUUAGUAUAUAAUAUUAGUAAUUAUUACAACUUAUAUAUUUUUUUAUCUAUAAUAUGAUAUCAUAAUUUUUUUAUUUUUAUGUGUUUACAUAUGAAAUUGGUUUGAAUUUUAUAUUUUUUUAAUCAGUCAAUAUAAUAGCUGAAACAAACCUUGUCCAGACAAUUUAAUAAAGUAUAUAAAAUAAUAUAUAUAUACAGAUAUUUGUAUCUGAUUUAGACCUGACCCGUACCCGAUAUUGAAUGGGUAGUAUACGGAUAGUCACUAUCCAAACCUGCUCAAAUAGACCUGAUGGUUAUAUUAGUAACUUAAGUAUUCAGACCCGGACUCGACUCGAAGUUAAAUGGUUAGGGUUUUUUUUUUUUUCUAACCAUUUUCUUUUACAGUAUAUCAACUAUCCAGAACCGACCCGGUCCACGGACUUCUUUAUUCAAACUAUUAUUUUUUAUAUUUUGACUCGGGCUUCCUGAAUUGUUAUAAUUAGGUUUCAUAAUUUUGGUUAUCUGAUUUGUCAUAUAUUUUUAUUUAAAUAUUUCUAUUUCAAAACAUUAAAUUCUCUAGAGGGUUUUGUUAAAGCUAAAUUAUACUUUGUUUUCCAAGCUAUAGUUUUUUAUAAUUUUGAUUCAAAAUUUCUAAAUUAUUAUAAUUAAGUUUUAAAAUUUCGUUAUCUAAUUUAUUGUAUAUUUCGAGUGCGUCUGGUAUGCUUAUGGAAGCACGGAGCGCUCCGUGCUUCCACUUUGUUUUCAAUGUUCGGACUUUCGAAUCGACGAUCGGCUCCGUUGGACUUUAUCUAGAGUAUUUGAAGUAUCUAGAAAAUAAAUUUUGCGAUUUUUCGAUAUCAUUUGCCUAGUGAUCGAAGUGGCUCAAAAUCAACGGCUGAAAAUAAAAUCUUACAAAAUAUGAUGAUAUGAUAUUAAAAUUUUAGAUCAAAGUUAUUGAUCUUGUUUUAUAUGGUAUAAAGAAUUUUCUAUCAAAAUUUCAUGCAAUUUGGAUAUUUCUACACUGUUGAACUUGCAACCGGCUCACCACGGCCAUUAAAAUUAUUGAUUUUGAGCCCUUCGAUCACUAGGCAAAUGAUAUCGAAAAAUCACAAAAUUUAUUUUCUAGGUACUUCAAAUACUCUAGAUCAACUCUAAUGGAGCCGAUCGUCGAUCCGAAAGUCCGAACAUCGAAAACAAAGUGGAAGCACGGAGAGCUCCGUGCUUCCAUAAGCAUACCAGCCUACUCGUAUAUUUCUAUUUCAAAAAUUAUUUUGUGGUGGAGCAAGAAUCAUGAUGAUGGGUUUUUUUAGUAAAUAAUGAGACAUGUGAAAUUUUGGUUCUCAAAUUUUAAUUUGUUAAAUUUUUUUAUUUGAACUUUUUUAAUUGUUAUAUCAAUCACAAUCCAAUUUGUAGGUCGUAAGCGCCAACCAAUUAUCCCAAAAGCACAUACUAAUGGAAAGGGUGUACCCAUCGCACUGAAGGGCUCAACCACAAUGUUCACGGAUUUUGACCUGACACAACCAACCUAAAUGUUAGGUCUAUUGUUGGGCCUCUUACCAUUAGGUCUAUUGUUGGGCCUCUUGCCAUCAGGUCUUUUGUGGACCGCAGCAAUUAACUUAUUAGUUUCAUGCAACUCAACUUAUUAGUUUCGCAGGCUUUUUGUCAUAGGGCAGGAAGUUUGAUUUAUUUCAGCCCAAUAAUAAAUAACCAACAAUCCCCACCCCAAUAUCUGCACCGUUAAUGUAGUAUGUGGGAAUCGAACUUGCGCUGCAGGCUCUGAUACUACUUGUUGAUCGUAAACGCUAAUCAACUAUUCCAAAAGCACGUGCAAAUAGUAAGGGCGAACUCAUCGCACUCAAGGACUCAACCACAGCGCUCACGAAUUUCGACCUGACUCAACCCACCUGAACGUUAAGUCUAUUGUUGGACCUUUCGCCAUUAGGUCACUUGUGGACCGCAGUCCCACUCAACUUAUUAGGCUCACCCAACUCAGUUUAUUAGUUUUCUAGACCUAUUGUUACAAAACAGCAAGUUGGACAUAUUUUAGCCGAAUAAUAAAUAGCCAACACAAUUUAGCUAAUCAAAUAUUAAUAUGUCACUAAUAUGUGAAGCUUAUUUUGGUUAAAUUAGUCUUUUGGUCCAUAAGUUUUGAUGAGCAUGACAUCUUAGUUCUCAAACUUUAGUUUGUCAUACUUUUUUAUUCGAGCUUUCUAAAUUAUUACAAUCAGUCUCUACACCUCGAUUUAGUUGACUAAAUAUUAAUGUAUCGUAAAUAUGAAGGAGAUAUAAUAUUAUCGUGAUUGAUAAUACGACAAUAAUUAAAAUGCUAUAUCAUUUUUACAUCAGUGACACAUUAAUAUUUUUUGUUCUAGCAAUUUAUAAAGUAUGAAUAAAAAAAUUAUUAUAAAUUAAAGUUUAAAAACAAAAGUAUCACACGUUUUAUAGUUUUUAUCACUAAUAUUUUUAUUUCUGUUUAAAAAAUUGUUUUAUGUAGAGGAAUGGCAAAGAAUUCUUUUCCCCCAGUAGUUUUGUUAAUUAGUUAUCUGAUUUGUAAGGUUUUUUUUUUUUUUUUUUCACCAGUAUUUUUAUUAGAACAAUAGUGUUAUAGAUCUAAAAGUAGAUGUAAAUUUUAUACCUUCUCCAUCUAAAAGUUUAUCUUUUGUGGUAGUUUUAUCUCGCCUUUUUCAUUUCAUAAGAAGUGUAGUUAGAUAAAGAUUUUUAGUUUUUUUCCCUAAUUUUUUUGUUAUUUGGUUUAUCAUAUAUUCCUGUUCAAAAAAGUUGUUUCAUUAGUUCUAAAGAGAGAAAUAAUUUGGCCUUUUCAGUAUUAUUUUGAAAAAAAAAAAAAAGAAUUUUGGUGCUCAGGGUUGGACUGUUGGAGCCCCGGGCUCAAUCCUCACGGCAUUGGGGCCUAUCUACACAAUGUGCAUGUGCAAAGAGAGCCCAUUAUCACGAACCUUAGACUUCGUUUGGUUAGAGUACAAAUAAGAAAUGCUUAUUUUAGAGAUAGAUACAAGUUCAGAUAUAAACAAGAGCUAUAUCAAUUUUGCAUUUGAAUGAAAAAUAGGUUGUUUUCGAUAAUAAGAAAAUUAGUAUUUGGAUGAAUAAGAUGAAAUAAGAAAAAUAGUGGGCAGUUGUAAAUAAAAAAUGAUGAUAUUACUUCUCUCAUUAAAUUUAAAUUUAAAUUUUUAAAUUUCAUACUUAAAUUUUUAAUUUUCAAUUUUCAAUUCUAAAUUUUAAAAUUUAAAAUUCAAAUUUAAAAUAUAAAAUUUAAAAUCUCAAGUUGUAAAUUUUAAAAUUCAAAAUUUAAAUUUUAAAUUUUAAAAUUUAAAUCAAAUGUAAAUUUAAAAAAUAUAAAAUAUCAAAUUUUAAAUUUAAAAAUUUAUGGUGUAUAAAAUAUUAGUACACAUUAGGUGUAAGUAAAGAUUUUUUCUCUUUCUCUUGGAAUUAUAAAUAUACUCUAUUAAGCAUUCUCUAUACCGGAUGUAUAUGAGAAUAUACACCACAUACUUCAAACAUUUAAUAGAGAUUGUAAAAUUUAAUUUAGUAAAUAUAUUGAAAUUAUUAGACUUUGUAAUUUAGAUAUAUUUAAUUAAGUUUCGAUAUUAGAAAUUAGUUUUUUAAUAUAUAAGUUGUGGUGUAUGGUGUGUUAAUAUACACCAAGUACAUAUAAUAAUUUCUUAUUUCUCCAAUCAAUAUUAACUAGAUAAGAAUAACAUCAUAUAUUUGCAAUUUAGAAUUAAGUCUCCAAUUUUAACUUUUUAAUUAAAAAUAUAUUUAUAGAAUAGCUACUAAAAUUACUAAGUUUGAUUGAAUUUUUACAUGAAUUUAUUAGAAUACUUUAACUCUACAAAUACUGAAAAUUAAAAAGUAUUAAUAAAAAAAAAUAGAUUUACAAUGUAUAGAAGGCUAUAUGAAUUUUUUAAAAUUUUAUCAUAUUUUUCAAUUUUAAAAUUUUAAUAAAUAUAUAUUAAUUGACUGAAAUACUAUCGAUCCGUCGGAAAGCGCGGGCCCCUGAACUUAUAUUGAAGACUCUAGAAACGAAUAUUCUAAGCAGUAACAACGACUCCUCUAGUGUGCGUCAUCACCGGUCCUCGUGAAAGAGAUGCAAAUUAGUAGUAUUCAAACAACCAAUGCUGGUCUACUUUCAUAUAUAUUAAUUGACUGAAAUACUAUCGAUCCAUCACAAAGCGCGGGCCCCUGAACUGAAGACUCCAGAAACGAAUAUUCUAAGCAGUAAUAACGACUCCUCUAGUGUGGGUCAUCACCGGUCCUCGUGAAAGAGAUGCAAAUUAGUAGUAUCCGAACAACCAAUGCUGGUCUAUUUUCAUUUUGUUCCAUUUUGCCAUUCCGUAUUGGAGUAGCUGUAAAUUGACAACGAACUUGUACCAACCGUAGCUGAAAUAGUGCACCAUUGAAGCUCCAUUUGGAGCUAAAGGUGUGUUUGGUUCCACGUAAAACUGUGAAAAAAAAAUUUUCGAUAGAAAAUUUUUUUUCAUAUAUUAAAUAGAUGAAAAACUAUUUAUUAUUUUUUAUUAUAUAUUAUUAAUAUAUAAUAAUUAAUAUAUUUUAUAUAUUAUUAUAAUUUUUAUAUAUAGAUUAAAUAUGUUUAAAAUUAUAAUAAAUAUGUUACAUCAUAUAUAAUAUAUUUAGAAAUAUUAAUAAAUAAUUACAAAUUUAUAAAUAAAAUAUUAUAUAUAUAAAAUAAAUAUAUAUAUUUAUAAAUAUGUAUAAUAAUUUUUUUUUCACAACGGUUUUUUGGUUGAAAGAAAAAAAAAAUAGAUAAAAAACUAUUUAAUAUAUUUUUAAUUAUAUAUAUUAUUAAUAUAUAAUAAUUAAUAUAUUAUAUAUAUUAUUGUUAUAAGUUUUAUAUAUAAAUUAAAUAUAUUUAAAAUUAUAAUGAACAUAUUACAUCAUAUAUAUAUAUAUAUAUAUAUAUAUAUAUAUAUAUAUAUAUAUAUAUAUAUAUAUAUAUAUAUAUAUAUAUUAUAGAUACAAGACAACUAUAAGAAGUAAGUACGUGUAUAUGGCAUGCCAACGACUGCAUAGACAUAUAGGUGGCAGACAUAUGCCGUCAAUGGGACAAUCAGUCCAAAAUACCCAAUCUCGAAACCAUGCUCAUCCGGUUUGGUCAAGCACCUGCAACCUCAAGCCAAGUGCCCUGGAGUCCGCACCGCAACACUCCCGACAGUACCCUGCCCAAUUAGCUCUACAUAUGCAUAUAACCCCUUCUAGGGCUCACGGGUUGUCACCGAUUUCUAACCACUUUUUCGGAAAAGAACAUCCUUGCGCGUGGAUCAGACCGCCAGUCGUCGUGAAUGCGACGAGUUAAUCGGGCGAUCAAUGGCAAUAUGGUCAAUGAUCAACCGUCCGGCAACCAUGCCGACAAUCCUGCCCCCCAGGGCCUAAUCGAGCAUAGGUCAUCCCUUCCAAGAACCGCCCUCGUCACUAGGAUGGACAGACCAUCGACAUCCUCUCAAACAUAUCAAAAUACUGACUAAUCAUCAACUGGGAGAUGGAACAAACUCACAAUCUCUUAUACCACAAGCAUUGAUAGAUACAUGAUGCAAAUGAGUCAACUACUGAUAUUAUGCCAAGAACGGUCAAACAAGUUAUUCUAUAUAUGGAUCUAGAACUACCGUCGCCCCAACAUAGUCCACAUACCUAGCCCUCAGUGUACAACGCGACCUCGAAAGGUCAGUCAACAAACAAGAGUCAAGAGACAAACCGACUAUAAUACGCACGACCUAUAAGAUACAAGAACAAAUCAACAUAACUCACCGCUUUCACAUAAAAUCACGAAAUACCAGAGCAUCUACUCUAAACAUCGAUACAGAUAAUGAGAAUACAUAAGUAACCGCAAUAAAGAAAUAUGGUAUAACUAACUCGUACUCCUAAUCAUUUGAUAUAUAAGAGAAACAACCGAGUAGAGUAGUAACUGAACAAACAUGGUGCUAGGCUCAACACUAUAUUAUCAACAGAUAUAUAUAUAUAUGCUAGAUAAUAACAAAAGCAAAGGUAAGAAACCCAUCACUCGGAGGCGUGCACCACUCGUACCGACGUCGAUCGAAGUACCCACCUGUUACCAACCUGUCGCGCCCUGUCUGCCUGACUCAAAAAGAACGUCAACAGACCUAAGAGUCCACUGGGUUAAGUGUCUAACCCACAACUAAGAAACCCUAACAGCAUAACUCCUCACAACAACCACUGAAUUACACAACCCACAGACAAUUCACGGAAAAUCGUUGUCCCAAAAACCGAUUACCGAACAAACUGAAAUCCGAGGAAAAAACGAAACCGCCCCACAAGAAAAACGCCGCACCACCAGACUCUGUCGGGACGCACCUGAAUUGUCUCGAAAACCACCGCACCAUAUACGAUCACCUGCUGCCCCAAAACAUUCAAUUUGAUGUUUUCAGCAAACACAAGAUAAACACGCACUACACAAUUAUCGUCGAAUAAUUGUACGAAUCCGGUCCCGAAAGUGUCUAUUUCGACCACCCGGAACCGAACCAUCCCCGCCUCCAACGUCGUCAUUCUAACUCCUCGAAAUGACGCGAGUCGAUCAACCAACAAGCUCACACUACACCUAUACGCUCCACAAGCCACCCGUGAACCUAAUUUCCCGAACCCGAAACCGCCAGCGUUCCGCGCGAUUCGCCGAGGACGCAUCCGAGCGAAAUAUACUUGUACGAUCUCCGGCACUAGGGCUUUCGGGGACCUUGACAAUCAGUCAGAGGGACUCACCCACAACACACUUACUACCAACUGCCCACAAUUAGCACACCAAGCCGCCGCCACCAAUUGGCACACAAAGUACUAUAGUGUUACCAUAAAGAAUCAUCAUUCUCUAAUGUAACAUCGGCGCGACUCACUAUGACUCGUUCUCACAGACUGAGGACUUUCUAAAUUUCCGCCAAGAACACGUACUGACAGGAUCUCGACGUGCCCGGAGCCGUUGCUCAAGGUCUAGACGCGCAACAGGUCACAGGGUGGAAGCCGGCGAGUAACGCCGAAGUUCUGGCAAACAGUGCGACAGUCGAGGAAGCAUCCGCGCCAAACAGGGCUAAAACCGACACUGUUGACUGCCAAGUGCAGGUGAGUCACCUGUGAUCAGCACUGACCAAACGAUUCACCGCGUGCUCCACCUCCGAGGCAUCAGGGACCAAGCCUCGGAUCGCCGGAUAAGCAGUGCAAAGCCAAACAGCAGCGCAAACAAGCUCUAUACGGGUCGCAAACGCCGAAAACAGCGGAACCGAUAAGUCGCACACGGCAGAAACUAAGGUGACGCACGAUGGGAGUUCAGUAAAUCUUGGGGCGGUACGGUGCGAGAUAAAAGCGUGCUCACUAUGCCGGUAGGAGAACGCGGAGAGACCUCUAGAGAGAGAUAAGGCCUAACAGAACAAUAGACCAUCCAAACUAAGCGUCCUAUUUCGAGCUUGGCCGGAUUUCAAGUCUUGUCGUCGCGGCCGCCUUCCGCGGCACGGCGGCGCGCGCGGAAGCCAGGGAUGGGUGACCCGGGGGAGGUGAGGAUAGUGGAAGGAUUCAACGAUCGCUAGAGAGUUACCAGUGCUCAAACGGUUGUCUCGAGGUUGAACGGGACGGUGGCGGCGGCGGCGCUCGCGGAGCAUACUUUAAGUCUAGGACACAAGAGAUCGGAGGCGUGCGAGUUCCCAAAGCGUGAGGCGGCGGCGCAUAUCGGCGCCGCGGAGCGGAGAGACCUCCGGGACGGCGGCUGAGGGUUGAUGGACGGCCGAGAAGGGUAGCUAGGGACCGGCGUCAGUUGGGCGGAGGACGCUGGCUGGGGCGCGCCGGGGGCUGGAGUAUCGAGGGCCAAGUUCUGGUGCAAACUAGAAGCAGGCGGCCGCCAGGGGCGUUGCAGCGCAAGACGGCGCGUCGCAGCGGCGCAGGGCGGCGGGAAGGACGCCGAGGGGCUUGGAAAGUCGGCCGGGGUGUCACGAUGGCGGCGGUGCGGAGAAAAGGCCGCCAGGCUUGCCUCGGCCUGCUCGCCUGGCGGCUGGCUGCUGCUGGAGCGGCACCGGCGGCGCUCCGCGGCUCAGGGCGCGGCGCCGCUGUGCUGAGGUCGAGGGAACGGGUGAUAACGCGCCAAGGGAGGAGUUUUGAGCCUCCCCUUGCUCGGGUCCAAGCCAGCUGGAGAAGUGAAGGUGGCAACAAGAAAGGGAGAGGGAACAAGAAAAAGGGCUGUGGUGGUGGUGCUGCCGCAGAUCCAGCUCGUGCGGCGGCCGGAGCUCGUGACGGCUAGGUCAGAGGAGGCAAGAACGUCGGACUANNNNNNNNNNNNNNNNNNNNNNNNNGGGUGCGGUUAGGGUUAACUAGGGAUGAUCUAGGGCUCGGAUCCCAAGAAAACCCUAGAAAACAAUAUAAGUAAGGCGCAAAAUUGCAAGAAAGUCCACCUAGACUUACUAUUUCAAGCUAAAUCCUUCCCAGCCUGAGUAAAAUGCGUGAAUACCCCUCCACGUGCGAUCUCACACAAAACGGUACAUAAAAUAUCGCGACUUUCGCAAAAAUACCAAUUUGCCCUCACCGAUCUCUCCUCGAUCAACGUGCGAUCUCCGCAGAUCCGUCCGUCGAAUUUGCGAACGGAUCACACCAGUGCGAUCAGCACCUCGGAGACAACAAAGCUACGAUUUCGUUUCACCUCAAACGGUCACGGAUUUGCGACGAACUCCACUCUCUCUCCAAAAGGCCAAAAAUCAAGCACAAUUACAUAAAAAACACGUUUUAUUGGAUUUUCUCGAAAUCCGUGCGUCAAACUCAAAAUCCGUCAGCGCCAUUAGUUCUAGAACAGCUGAACCGGUCGAAACGAGCUAUUGGACUGCUAUGAACGGAGUCCGAUACGCACCAGAAGCCAACUCUACUCCGUGGCUUCUCCGGAAAACCGGAGUUACUAUUCACUUAAGUGAAAACUAAAAAUCGCGUAUCUUCUCCAUUUUAGCUUAUUUUCUCCUGAAACUUGACGAGUGCUUAUGUAAUUAAAUUACACACAUAAACAUCAUCAACAGAGAGUUUAGUUGCACUGUAAAAAAUCUUAGUCCGUACACCCCAUUUUUCCAGGUGACUCGAGCGAGGAGUUGAUUCUUGGUGCGAUGGGAGGACGUACUAGCUAGACUGCAGCAGCGACCAUCACCCUAGUUAUGUUUCAUUUCCACAUUAGUAAUUUUAAAUAAUUAAAUGGUUCAGUUAGAUGAUCACUAUAAAUGUUUCAAUAUUUGUGAACUGGUUUGAGUUGAUGUUUUUCUAUGAUACAUGCGAUUGGAGAUUUAUGAAUGUAUAGUUUUGGAUUUACGUAUUUAUACAUCGUGGUUUUCUACCCCUCGAGGUAGUUGGUUUUCAAAAUGGAGUUUUCGAGUGGGAAACAGUUUUAAAAGGUUUCCAAAUGAUUUUAUGGAGGAUUAUAUAGAGUUUAAAAACAAAGCUUCUGGAUGGGAAGUACUUUUAAAUAGGAUGAGUAUUGUACUGUGCAUCGCAUCAUCCAGUGCCUAAGGAGUGCUUAGAGGCAUGCAUCAUCUCUAAGGAUCGUUAGCUGUAUGGAAAUGCAUCACAUGGAUUGUUUGUGGAUUGGUGAAUGUAAGUUGUUGUUGUGAUCCUGAUAUUGUUGUUGGUAUGCUGUGCAAAUACAAAGGAGACUCUGUCCGUAUGGUCAGAGGAAUUUUGUAUUUGUGGUAGGUCUGUACGUCACGUGGGCCGGGCUGAAUUCAAAAAAAAAAAUGGCACGUUUUUCGCAAUUCGGAUUUUAAAAUUGUAUU